rnacentral:lncRNA from 1 species
AGAGAGAGAGAGAGAGAGAGAGAGAGGGAGGUCAUCCCAAAGGACGAAACAAGGACAGAUGGAGUCUUCUAUUUUAACAUCCCAUUCUUUUUAUUCUCUCUCCUUUUUCAUGUUUUUUUUAUUCUUUUCUCUCUCUAUUAAACAUCUAUCCACAUACCAAAGUGUGUUUUUUUAAUGACAGGAAAACACAUCCCAAGAUUUUAGUCAUUUUUGUAAUGGGCAACAGAAGAAUCCUCCUCCAUAGCUGUUUCUAGUCAAACUCUCAUCAACCCUUUCACUCUGUAAUCGAGAUGAUUAAUUGUCAUUUAACUCAGAAAUUGAAAGUCUGAUGAUGUCUUUCACUGUGUAAUGCUCAUCAUCACAUAAUAAUACUCUCAGGGAAAUUGUUUAUGCUUUGGAUGUUCAGGUUUUACCUUUGAUAGUAUUAGAUAAAAAUAUAUGAGUAAUUUUCUUCUGCAGCCAAUAUAAAAAAAUUAUCCCAUCAAUGAUAAUUUGAACAGUGAAAUAUCCAAAAACAAUUUUCACAAUAAUCCGUUAAAUAAUCGAGAGAAAACCUUUUUUACUUGAAUAUAUUGGAUAAAGUAACUUAAUUACUCCACAACAUGGCAUGCACAAAACUAGAUUUGUGGCGAUCACAGUGCAGUUAAUAAUAAUGCGGAUAGAUUUGGCUUAUGCAAUCAAUACUCGUCUUCAUUAAUGGAUGGAAUAAUACAGAGUUAAAAGUAUACUAGCGAGUAAAUGAGGUAACCAUUAGUCAUUAUCAAGUGAUUCCUACAAGCUAUUACUUGUGACACUUUGGGCUUUUCUCCGUUGCGUGUUCUGACCACCUUAAGCUUUUCUUUAUAUAUAUAUAUAUAUUAUAAUAUUAUGCUUUAGUAGUAUAAUGAUAUAUUGAGAUUGCUUCAGUCCAAUCUGAGCUCUUCAUCUACAUGAAUUGGACUGUUCACAUCACUCUCUUAAUACUAUUAACGGGAGUUAGUGUCAUUCAUCAGAUGUUAUUAAUAAUUCUUUUAAAAAUAAAAUUUAAAAAAACUCAAUUCAUUAAAUGAGUAAAAAAAAUAUUUUAUUGGAUCUUUGCAAAAUGUAAUAUGAGUAAUCCCCUUUGUUAAACUUAUCAUCAUAUUUUUUUAUCAUUCACGAAAUAAGUCAAUAAUUAAAUUCUUUGAACCUUUUGCUAACUAUUUUAAUGUUGUGAAGAACAACCGACCAAUUUUAGAUUGAGGGGGUUAGGAUUCUAAUCUUAUAAAUUUAUACCUAAAACAUAAUGAUGGUUUAUAUGGUUCAAAAUCUUGGUUUAUAAACUAGUAAAAAUUAUAUUAGAUUACUACAGGGGUUCUGAAAUCAAAACACAUUUAUAUUUUGGAUAAGUAUGCAUAUCUAUGAAUAAACAUAUGGCUUAUCAUGAUCACGAAUUGUUUUCUCUUUAUGAGAAUAUAUUAUCACGAAAUAUGUUAGCUUGUGUGGUAGUGAAAACUAAUAUGAUUUCUCCCUUCCAACAAGGACGAAUCGAUUCGGAUCUUGGGUGCAUGUUGCUGCUCCUGCUGCUGACUCUUUCUUCAUAAACGACGCCAAAUAACUCAUCUCCUGCUGGCUGUCUCAUCCGGGUACGUCCAAAGCAGUCCAGCUUGCCGGCCUGCCACCACAGAGAGAAAGAGAGAGACAGAGAGAGAGAGAGAGUACUUAUCUCUCGCCGAGGUCUUACUGUUGAGAGAGGAUGACUGUUCUCCUGCCGAGGGCUUCGCGUUUGGUGAGAGAGAGAGAGAGAGAGAGUAACAGUAGAAAGAAAAGAAAAAAAAAAGAAAGGAAGAAAACAAGGGCUCCUUCCAUCUCCUCCUCCUCCCUCCUGCUCUUCUUCUUAGCGUUGCUAGAGAGAGAGAACGGGGCACAUGGAGUGCUAGGCGUGGGUGCGGCAACGGAGACUAGCGGGCGCGGCAUUCCAAGGCCGGUCCAUCACUCCGCACGUUCGACUGCCCGCUCGUUGCUGCGCGAUGCCCGCGCCCACCGGCUGGGAGAGUGGGCCACGGUAGCACGUGAUGUGAUCCACAGGCCCCAGCAGGCAUACUUCCGACUCGAUCCGGCACGCAGUUUUACCACCUGUCCGUCUCCGACUAAAUCAGGUACACUUCGGACUAUUUAGUUUCUAUCUCUGCCUUCUCACUCACAGCCUAAAUCCAAACCUCCCUACCAAAUGAUGCCUUCUAAGAGUGUGUGUGGGUUGGGUUGGGUCUUUUCGCGACCAAUAGUUUACAACUCUAAAAUUAGAAUGGACUCCUUCGCUCCCUUCUCACGUGUAUUGUCUUUUUAUACAUCAUUGUCUCCUCGUCUCACUUAUUUGAAGGGACCGUAUUCUGACAAUGUGAAAUGAGUGCACCUGCAGUCGGUACUUGUAACAUUUUGCUUGCCUCCUAUUGGUUCCAUUUGCGAAUCUGGUUGCCUCUGCUCCUAUCUAAGUGUCGGUGGCAUCGUUUGGUUCUGUGAGUAAUAAACAUUAAUGUUUUGUGAGCAACGAAACACCACAAGCUUUUAAGGUAGUACACACUCUCACGGCGACUUAAGUUUCCAAGGAAAUUAAUAUUUACAUACAAAAGCUCACUUCAAAGCUUACUCGUCAACCUCUACUGAGCCCAGUUUGAAUAUUUGACCAACUGCUUCAAGAGCAGAGAUACUCCAACUUUCAGCAUGCCUGAUGAUCUGAAAUAAUAGAACAUCAAUCCAUAUGGCACAUGAAUUAAUUAAUCUGUACUCCAUACAAACAAUACAUGGACAAAGAAUUAUCGCAUCUUACUUUGAAAUCUUCACCUAAAUCAUAUGUGGUUGUUCCUCUAAUACCAAUGAGAGGUCUCCAAGGUAACUUUAAAUAGGUCCUGCAAAUUGGGCAUUAUGAAAUAAAAGAAGAAAAACUUAAAAGUAAGUUCUUUGGAAGUAAUACAAUUUUUUUUAAAAAGAAAGUACAGUAAUUGAACCAGCUAAACUAACAGAAACUAAAGAUUAUCUUCUUUCUGAAGAUAUGCUUUUGGGAUGUUUUGGUUUUUAGGAUAUGAUUAAAAACUUAGCAAAGAAACAUUAAGCAUUAAGUUUAUGUUACCAUGCAAAAUUUCGAUGACAUAAUGAAUCCUUCAACAUCCUAUAUAUUUAAUAUUCUAUAGAAGUCAAGGCCUGAUAGUCUAAUUGGACCAGUCCUGGGCCCCCUAAAGCAUAUUGCAAACUGGACCAGUUUCGAUUUUUGAUCAAGAUCGACUGAGAGUGAUCCUAUAUUUUCCGGGAAAUCGGGUAUAUGCCAGGAGUUGAACACAAGCAACUGGAAUUGGUUGGAAUCAGCCAAGAAUCUGCAUUGCAAGUGUUAAAUAGCCACGAUAUUGGUCACAGGAUCGCAAUAUUGCGUGUGCUAAAUAGCAAUAGAAAUUUGAUUAGGUAGUUGUCAAGUAUCAGAUGCCUAGAAGAAGAAAACUUGGGAAAAGUUUAAGUACCUUAGACACCAUGUUGCCAGAAUGAAGUUCAUUUCAUAAUUCUGACCCUACAUAAGAAAACAAUAAAUCAUCAUAAUGAUAAACAAACGAAUAAGAUCUUAUCUGUCUCCAUCAUGAACAUGAGAAAAAACAAAACUAGUUCAUGUUUGUAAAUAGUACUCAUUUUUAAUACUCAAAACAGUUGCUCUAGAAAGUAAAUUGCUAUAGAUUCUUCGCCACUGAGGCAGAGUUGAUCCUAUUUUGAAAAUCAAUACUACACAUCAUUCUGUAUAUACAUGCCAGCUUUUGCAAUCUACAGAGAGGAAAGGUUGCAAAAUAUUUUUUGGCAAGCAUUCAGCUAUGAACACUACAUUUUGAAUCUUGACAAUAAAACUAUUCGAGAUCUUUCCUUUGCCCAGAUACGAAAUACUGAUCAUCUUCAGCUAUUUGCAGAAGUUGAGAUCUAAAAAUCCAUAUUGGGCCAAUUGUAAAUACGUAAAAAAAGUGUUUGGCUUGUCAUAUAGAAUAAUAUAUAUUAUCAUGCCAACAACAAAGGUUUCUUUAGUAACGUUCCAAUAUUUCUUGAGUAGAAACAGAGACCUUCUUAAGAUAGCUUUUAUUACCAAUCAAUAAGAACAAAACUUUGUCAGAGAGCAAAUAGAACACAACCCUAUAAAUAUCUUAAAUAACCAGCUUUACUGUAAAAAUCAAGUAUCUUGAUAUAGGAAAAGAAAAUUGAUCAAAUCAAGUAAGAGCUAUGUAGGCUGUUGAGUUCCACAUUCUUGUGUUUGAAGCUGGGUUUUUAAUUUCGAAUAAUAUCGCCUGUACCGAGCGGUAUGUACCGGUCAGCUAGUAGACCGGUACGUGGACCGCCCACUACCGGGUGGUACCAUCGAUUGGGGCUGUUUCCGCCCUAUUACCAUGUGUAAUCGGUCGGUGACGAUCAAUUUCGACCAUCGCCGCCCACUAUGGGACGGUAUUAGCCGAGGGAGAAGGAAGAAGAGGGAAAAGAAAAUGGAGAACCUGUAGAUCUAGCGUCGCUCUCCCUCGACGAUCCCGAUCCGCCGUCACCCUCCCUCGCCGGACGUCAUAGAUAAGAUGUCGCCUCUUCCUCGUCUGAGGCGAUGAGGCCUCGACAUCGUCGGCGACUUUUCCAUGUCCGCACGGAGAGAAGAAGCCUCGAUGACGUCGCUGAGGCUUCACGGGGAGAAGAAACGAGGCUUCCUUUUUUAUAUAUAUUUUUUAAUAUUAUUAUUAUUAUAUAUAAGGUAUGUAAUACUGUACCGUACAAGUGUUUCGAGAUUGGCUCGGUACGGUACAGUACCGUGCACCGAGCGGUACACCAGGGCGUAUCAGAGUGGUACACCAAGGCGUACCAAGCGGUUUUAUAUAUUUCUUUCUUUUACUGUAACACUGCAACACUGCUACACUGUAGCAUAUUCCGUCCGGUAGCGGGCGGUCCGUGUACCGGUAUACCGUCGGACCGAUACAUACCGCUCGUACCGGGCGGUACCAUUCAAAAUUGCAUACUAUGAUUAUAUAUAUAUAUAUAUAUAUAUACCGAACGAUAUGCCAAAGCGUACCGCUCAGUAUACUCGUAUCGUACUGUACCGAGUUGAGCUCGAUACUCUGGUACAAUACGAAAUUACGAACCUUGGUUUGAAGCACCAAAACCAGAUGCUAGAUUGGAUACCUAAACCUAGUCCAUUAUAGCAUGCUAAGAAUUAAAGUACUGACCUUUCAAAAAGAAAUCAUUAUUAUUAAGAAGGCCAAAACUAUUACUAAAUAUACAAAUAUCCAAUAGGCAUGACAUUAAAAAUUUCAGGUGAAUUAGACAAUUUAACAUUCAUGCUGACAAUGAUCAAAUGACAUGAACAGAGCAAGGAUCAAAAUUUUGCCACUUUAUUGAUUACUUAAACAUUUAAAUAUUUUUUUUUGUGUGUUAUACAAGCAUCGGAGAUAGUGCAGGUAAAGAGGAUGGGCGAGCCCCCAAAUCAUUGCAGGAAGAAUAGUUGCAAAAAAGAUUUGUCCACAGUCUACUAAGAAUUCUGGCUCAUUACUAAUACCUUUAAACAAUGUGCAAUCCUAAUUUUUUUUAUCUAAUAUCAAGCAAUAAAUUUUGUACAUUAUAUAUAGUGAAUGAUAUUGAAGGGUGUCGAAUUCAUGGUCUUAGGCAUUAAAUUGACAAAAUAAAUAUACCUUCUCGAUAUUCUCAAGUUUAAGGGAUGGGCGAUCAAAGAAAGGAACGAGCAAGUCCAGAUUCUGAGAGUACCGGUCCCUGCCUAGCCAGAACAAGAAUAAAUAGUUAGAAUUUUUUCUACUUGCUGAGUCUCUAAGUAUUACUAUUUGGUGAAGAACAAAGAGUAUUCUUUAUCAAACUGAUCUAGAUACUACAGUUACAAUUUGAAACAAUUAUUUGGCAGAGGAGAACAACUGGAUCCAUCUGCUAAACCUUCACACAAGAAUUCUAGAGAACUCAUUUUGACUCAAGAACUCACCAAGUUAACUCAAAACUCAGCAUUAUAUGUUACCUAUUAUCAAGUCCUUGAGUCAACCAGAUGAAAGGUUUUGAAUUUUAGAAAAUUUCUUGUACCUAAGAUCAUUAUAUUUGACCUUUCAAAGCGACUGAAGACAAAACAACUGGAACUUAAUGAAAUAAUAAUAAAAACUUUCUGAAAUUCGUCGAAAGGUUUCACAUAUAAGAUUUAGAGCCAGAUAUUUAAGGAAAAGAAAACUACAAAGAUGGUGGUGGCUAUCACCAUGUCAAAGUUAAUAACAAAAACAAUUGUAAAAUGAGGAUCUGAGAAAAGUUACAAAUCUAUCAAAGUAUAACAAAACUUAAUCAUAUCUGUCAAAUUAAUAAGGAAGCCUUAUGUUUGUUUAUCUCCUGAUAAAGACAUCUACCAAGCUCUUGAUAAAGAAUUUCUUUGUGGAAGUAGAACAUUAUCCUUGUUGAAAUUUGGUUCUCCUGAAUCAAUAAGUCACUCUGAUUGAAUCCUAAGUAUAAUAGUAUUAAAUAUAAAAGAUAACUGAAGAUGAAAUUGAUUUAUUGCAUCAUAAACUUUAAAGCUGAAAGUGUGAAUCAAAUGAAAAUUGGACUCCACUAAAGUUGAAAUUAGAAAUUGUAUAAUGUAACAGAAGUUGGAUCCAUGAGAAAAGAAUGAAAUAUAAGAGACUGUAUCAAAAUUACCAAGAGAAAAGAAUUUGAUUACAAACUUUUAUUUAUUUUAUUUUUCUUCUUCUUUCUAGAACAAGAAAGGCCAUAAGUUCUUGAAUGUUGAGGUUUAUCAUUUUAGUGGAGAUAAUGUUGACAACAAUCAUCCAAUAAAAAAAUUCUUCUAAAAUUAUAAGUACUAUUUUUUCUUUAAAUCAAUAGAUCUAAGCAACAGAGGAUUAAUGAACUUACAUUGUAAGGCCACAUAAGCAUAUUGCAUUCCAACAUUUAAUUGAAAAUAAAGGAGAAAUACAUAUCAAGAGAAAUAUGUUAGCAAAUAACAUACCACGAAAAUUGAUUGUAGGAUCUUCAAAUAAGCAAUCAUCGGCAUAUAUGUCGGAGGUGAACUCCCCUAUUAUUCAGAGAUGGUAUUAGUUGUUUUCUCGAACUUAACAAGCCGCAAUACUAUAGCGCUCUUGUUUUAUGCAAAAGAAUGACUAGAUUGUAAGAGUCUUUGCACAACGUUAUAACGUAUUCACAGGAGAAAUUUUUAGAUGAGUUGUUGAAAUGGAAAAAUAAAUAAAUAAACAUAUGUUGUUUUGUUUAGCAAGAUAUGACAAAGAACCAGGGCUUGCAUCUUAAGGAGUUCAAAUUCUUAUUUGUUAAAAAUUUGAUACUUCCUGUGAAGAAGACAUGAUCACAAUGGACAAAAGACCUAUUGAAAAAUAUUGAUACUCCUAUUAGGUAAAGAAUCUCCCAAGCUGGUCGAAAGUUUUGCAUACUUUCACUAAAUCUACAAGUUAGCAAUCGUGGAGACAAUCAAGAAACAGAGAAGUCACCAAAAGAUGUGAGGUGGGAAGUUCCUAUUCUUUGUAGGCAUGCUAGUUUUACUAUUUCCUUUACUAUCACACCUCUGUGGUGGCAUCAUCUUGAUUUACUGUGUUCCCAAUUUAUCUUCAAUUUACCAUACAAAUCACUGUACGGAUAAAGAACAUAUUAUUCGUACAGAUGACAGUUUAAUAUUUUGUAUUUGGAGAAACCUGUCAAUGGUUCCAAUAGGGUCAGUUUGGCAAGUUUGAAACAGCAGAUCUACUCAUUUACACAUGCUAAUACAACCUCAUUGCACCCUCUACUCAUCAAUAAUAUCGAAUGCACAUCAACACUUCUUAGUUCUUGUUUAAGGAUUUCAUGCAAAACAGAACCAAGACAAACAGAUUCGAAUUUUCGAGAAUAUUCAAGGGAGAAAUUACCUAAUCUUAUUACCUGUAAGGAAAUAAGCACGAUCAUAAUCCGCUCGAAGAAUUCGGACGACGUCAUCUACGCUACGAGCCAAAGAAGGUGCUUGCGCCGCGGCUUUCGCCUCAUCUCUGCCACAAGGUUGCGAUCAUGAGCAAGAUAUGGUGAUGGGAGGAAACGUGGUGCCGCUGCUGACCUCUGUUUCUUGGGAGAGAGGAGCCUGAGGAUCUCCGUGACGCCACCGACGGCCAGUUGCAACAGCGGCGGGGCUCUCUUCCCAUCACGCCGAGAGGUCGAGCAGCGAAAGGUGGGCGAUCGCUGCGCUAGGGGAAGCAACUUAGAAUAGGCGGCUAGAGAGAGAGAGAGAGAGAUUACCAUGCGCUGCUUGAGGGCGGGAGAGGAAGAUGAGGCGACGGAGGUAGAGAUCGCUGCCAUCCACACCAACGGAUGGCGAACUGGGAAACGCUGACGAUGAGCGGAUUGAAAUGGGCUCUUAUUUUCUGAAAAGCCCCCUAAUACUUGUCUUUUUUUAUCGAUUAGGCCUCAAUAAAACCCGAAUUGGCCCCAAAAUAGCAUUCACCGGUUCAACGUCUAAACCGGAAGUUUCCUCGAAAAUCUCCAAACUUUUUAUCGAUUAGGACCUCAUUAUGGGAUGGUCUAAUUGAAUUAGCGGUUCAACCUCCAAACCGGACAGUUUUCUGAAAGGUCCCUACUUAUUGAAUUAUCCUUAUAUUCGCUUAAGGCCCCAAAAUAUACUACUAUGUGUUCACUUACACCCCCCCCCACCCAGUGUGGCGUAAACCCCUUACCACCAUACUAUGAUCGGGUAAACCUUAAGGUCUAAACCGGCAUAAAUGAUAGAAAUAGGAAUUUUCGAAAAACUCCCUAAUCGUUAUUUUUUUCUCUCUAUUUUUGCUGAUCAAUUGAACAACAUAUUUGUCAAAACAAAACAAAAAACCCCAACAAGGACUUGAGCUUGCUUUGCCCCGAGCAAUUCUCGCGGAAAACAAAGAAGAAGCAAUAAUAGCUGAAUCGAAUGCACACACUGUUCUUUCAAGCUUUGGGUAUGCCAUGACAAACAUGCAGGACAAAUAGAAGAAAGAUCUCACUAUCUACUCGGUUGUAAGAGAACAAAUGGAAUACAUGAUUUCACUGCAUACAAACUGUUCUUAACAACUCCAUUACUGGGCACUCUGAUAAACAUCAGGUUGGCAGACACAGUAGUUUUCAUCCUUCAUCAGCUUACAAAAGCUUUUCCUCAGCUAACCCAAAAACAGAUCUUUGUCGAGAUGACAAAAUGCUCAUAGUUUUGGUUUCUGUCGAACAUAUGGAGGCCAGUAAAAACCAAAUGCUCGGAUUCACACAUCAAUGUACAGGGAAUUACUCAGGAACAAGGAUGGUUGCAGUUGCGAAACAAGUCACAAUGUGCAGCAUAGAACGGGUCUCCUUUCACUCGUUCUCAGCAAUGUAGUUUGGUAGCUCACCCUGGCAAAGGUACUCAUCGCAAUGGGAAGCAGAUUCCCAGCCUCUACGAAGUCUAAUGAUAUCCUCUGUGAAUGUUGAACCUGACGAUCCAAUAAAAACGGUAGACAAAGCACAAAUUGUCUUGUCCAGCAUGGCCUCAACCUGCAGGCAAUAAGAGACUCGAUCAAAUACAUGAAUAUGUGGAGUACAAAGAAAUAUUAACUUAUCUUUUUAUAGUUUCAUGUUUGAAACAUCCAAGCAAAAAGGUUCACCUGACUAUCUCCUCCUAGCCGAUUUCUGUACAACAAGGCAUCCCAUUUUUCAGCACUAUUAUGAGCUGGCCUCUUGACCAGUGGAACUUGCUUGUCAUUUAACACAACUAAUGACUGGAGAAGAUUUGUUUCGCUCUCAGCUGCAUCUGUGGAUAGAUAAAUAACUGGGGCAUCGGCUUUCUCAACAGUCCGCAGUAUACACUCUGCUGCCUGAGGAACGGGGAAAAAGCAACUCUCCUUUUUCACAUUGCUGCAGGCAAUUAUUGGAAACAAAGGUCAGAAGAUCAUCACUUUCUUCACUUUACCACUAAGAUUCAGAAAUUUCACAAAAUCUAACAUACACCUCUGGUUUUCUCAGUUCUGCAGAAGCUAAAACUACACAAAUCCCAACUGGAGAACUGAAAAGUAUCAGCGGAAGAAAGCAACAGAACAUGCUUUUGAAGAUUUAUGACUGUGAUAUAAACCAUCACUACAUGAGAUUGAUCACUCUUAGAAGAGACUACAGCCAUUGAGUUCUUUGUAACCCCUAUGCAAAAUGUUGAAGAUGUGUGAAAUUAACACACAAGAGAAUGUAUGUUGCUGAGUCUGAGCUAGAUUGAGUAAUAUACACUAAAUUAUCGUCAAUUCCUUAAUAUGGACCUGACCCAUACAAACAGUGGGCUGAACUCGGUUGGGUCCAAGGGUCAAAGCAUAUCAUAAAUUAUUUUUCAACCAAAAUUCCAGGUCAAUUUGAAAAACAGAAGAAAUGUAUACUUGAUAUAAACACAAUUUGGCGAGCGGGUCAAGAUCUUUUAACUUGGAUCCAAUCCAUACACCCAUUGGAUCAUGUUAAGUGGAUUGAAUUUGGAUUGAGCUGAAAGGUUGAGGGUCAAGACUCCCGUCCCUAAUCUAUUUGCAACUUCAGAGAGAAGUGUUUGUUAGUUACUUGUCCAUGCCAAAUAAUUGCCAACAAGAAUUUCCUUACGAGUGAUGUUUGAGAUCUACUUCACUAAGCGUAUGGCAUCACAUGCACAAUGCAAACCUUAUAUAUGAUGUGAUUUACUUUACUCCUAAUAUCAUGAUAUACUAGGAUUAAUGUUACUUGUCCAUGCCAAAUAAUCAUCACCAAGUUACUUGUCCAUGCCAAAUAAUUGCCAACAAGAAUUUCCUAAUGAGUGAUAUUUGAGAUCUACUUCCCUAAGUUUAUGGCAUCACAUCCACAAUGCAAGCCUUAUAUAUGAUGUGAUUUACAUUAAUCCUAGUAUCAUGAUAACAUCAAUUAUUCAUGAUGCUACCACAAUCACGUUUCACUUCAUAUUCACUAAAGCCAUUACUUUCUUUCAAUGUGAGAAUUAAAUACUCAAAAUGAUUGAUUUGUUCAUUACGAUGCAGUAAAGUGAAGUUAUAGUUCAAUAAACUAUGCUUUCCUGAGAAAUUCUCAAAAACUCCAUCAAAUAUGUUAUACAACAACAACAUCAGCAAAACCAUAAGUUCCGACUAUUUAGGGUCGGCUACAUGGAUCUUUUGUCACCAUUGAGAUUUGUAAGAUGUCAUAUAUUUAAUUAAGUUUAGAAUACUUAAAUCUUUAUUUAUAAUUUUCAUUAAAAUCUUUUUAGGUCUUCCUCUACCUCUCAUAGUAUCACCAAAAUUAAUUAUUUCACCUCUUCUGACUACUGCAUUCGAAGGUCUACUCAGCACAUACUCAUACCGUCUUAAAUAAUUUUCUCUCAUCUUAUCCUCAAUCGAAGCGAUACAUAAUUGUUCACGAAUAAAAUUAUUUUUUUCCUAUCUUUCCUAGUGACUUGACACAUCCAUCUCAACAUUCUCAUCUCGGCAACAUAAAAAUUUGGUAUAUGUUUUUUUUUAAUUAUUAAGCACUCAAAUCCAUAAAGCAUUGUUGGUCUCACAAGUGUCUUAUAAAAUUUUUCUUUUAAUCUCAAAGGUAUUCAAUGAUCAUACAAGACUCUUGACGCCGGUCAUCAUUUUAACUAUCCUAUUUUUACUUUAUAAAUAAUAUCUUCAUUGAUCUCUACAUCUUGCUGAAUAAUUAAUUCAAGGUACUUAAAACUUUUACUUAAAGAGACUUUUUGUCCAUUCAAUUUAACUAUAUUCUCUUUUUUAUUUCUAUAAUUACUAAAAUUAUAUUAUAUAUUCAGUUUUAGUCCUACUUAAUCUAAAACCUUUAAUUUCUUAGCUUGCCUCCAUAGUUUAAGUUUAUAAUUAAUUCCACUUAAGCCCUCAUCAACUAAAAUAAUAUUAUUAAUAAAUAACAUACACCAUGAAGGUCUAUCAUGUAAGUGACUAGUAAGCUCAUCCAUUAUUAAUAUGAAUAAGUUGAGACUUUAAUUUGAAUCCUUGGUGUAGUCCUAUGCUAAUAGAAAACUCAAUAGACACACUCCCUAUAGUUCUAACACUAGUAACUAUAUUAUCAAUCAUAUCUUUAAUAACAUCAAUAUAAUUAGCAGAUACAUCUUUUUUUUCUAAAACCCACUAGGAAUCCUAUCAUAGGCUUUCUCUAUGUCAAUAAAAAUCAUAUGCAAUAUGAAACUCUUUCUCUUUCUUUCUAUAUAUUUUCAUUAAUUGUCUUAAUAAAUAAAUAACUUUCAUAGUUGAUCUUCUAAGCAUAAAAUAAAAUUGAUUUUUAGAUAUAUUUGUUUCAAGCCUUAUCCUACUUUCGAUAACUCUUUCCUAAAGUUUCAUAUAUGGAUCAUGAUUUUAAUUCUUUUAUAAUUUGAACAAUUUUGUAUGUCACCCUUAUUUUUUGUAAAUUGGCAUUAAAAAACUUUUUCUCCAUUCAUCAGGCAUCCUUUCCAAUCUCAUGACCUUGUUAAAUAAGCUAAUUAACCAAGCCACUCUCUUGUCCCAUAAACUUUUUUAAACCUCAAUAGGGAUACAAUUAUGCCCUAUACUCUUAGCUAUUUUCAUCUUCUUUAAUGUGUCUUUAAUUUCAUUAGCUCUAAUUUUAUGAAUAAAUCUAUGAUUAUUAAAUAUAUCACUAUUAUUUAUCAUUAAAUCUAAGUCCUAUGUGAAAUAUUCAUUAAAUAAUUUAUAAAAAAUAUUUUUUCAUCUUUCCUUAAUCUCAUUAUCAUUAACAAGUAUUCUUUGAUCUUCGUCUUUAAUGCAUCUGAUAUUAACCAAAUCCUUACACUUCCUUAGCCUUAGUAAUUCGAUAUAUAUCUUUUUCCCCAUCCUUAGUACUUAAUUUAUUAUAAAAAUUAUCAUAAGUUUUAUAUCUUAUCAUACUAAUUGCUUUUUUAGUCUCUUUUCUAGAUUCUUUAUAUCUUUUAAGUUUUUUCUCAUUUAUAUAAUUUUGUCAAUCUUUGAAACAUGAUGUUUUGGUAAAAAGUGUGUUUUGAAUUUCUUUGCACCACCAUUAAUCCUCUCUUAAGUUUGCACCUCUACCUUUAGCUUCACUAAGAGUCUUCUUUGUUAAUCUUCUAAUUUUAUUAGUCAUCAUAGUCCAAAUAAUAUUAAUAUUAUCCUCAUCUAAAUUCCAAGUCGUCUCCUUUUUCAUCUUAUUCUUAAAAGUACUUAUAUUAUCAUCUUUAAAAUUUCCCCAUCUAGUCCUAGUAAAAUUUUUCAUUAUCUUUUUCCUUUUUAUUUUCUAUAAUAAAUAUUUAAUACCAUCAACCUAUGUUAAUUCAUCAAACUUUCGUCGGGUAUCAUUUUACAAUUGUUACAAAUAACUUUAUCUAGCUUUCUUAUGAGAAAAAAGUCCAUUUGAUGACACUUGUGUUCGCUCUUAUAAGUAAUUCUGUGAAAUAUGUUGUCUUACGAUAAUAUCUGCCAUUAACUAGGAUCGAUACUGUAUAUGUGCUCUCAUGUAACCAGAUCCACUGGUUUGAAAAAAUUGCCACGCAAACUAGGGUUGUAUUCUAUGCAGAUUAUUAUUGAGUAACCAGCAUUAUAUUGGAAGAUAAGGAAAAAUAUCAACUUUAGGACAAUUGAACUACGAUGAUCAUCUAAGUUUACUCUACCAGAUUGCAAGAAAUAUAAAAUCAAUGUAAAGAAGUAGAAAGCAGCAUAAGCUUCUGAAAACAACAUAUGAUCAAAAUAACCUACGCAUCGAUCGCUGAGGUUACCAAGGACCAGUUACCAUAAUUCACCUACGAAAGAGUCAACAGCAUGACACACUUUUCAAGCUCACAACUACACCAUAUGCCACAAGAUGCUUAAUUCUAGUUAAGCUUUCAAAGAAAAUUGGAAGUGGAACAAUAACAGUCAACUUACCAGAAUUUCAAGAACCCAUGUCGACGGAAAUGCAGGGCUAUGAAGUUGCUCCCUAAGAAAGUCUGCACGAACCGCUGUGCUGUGAGAUAAAUGAGCCGACUUGGUUGGAUCACCGUCUUGCACUUAUGAGCAAGCGGGCCUCCUGGCUGCAUUACCCACUCUUCUUCCACAUCAGCAUAGAACAUAUCUCCAAUGGCAAUCACCUCAUCAUUUGAUGCAAAUUUGGGCAUAAUGUCUCCAACAACCCUUUUCUUUUGUGUCUUCAACUUGGCAUCCUCAGGCCAAGCAGCCUCAAUCUUCCCAAGUGAAAGCCCCAAGUUCUUCAACCUCUUAGCGUGCUCCUCGUCCAGAUAGCAAGGUGGUGAUGCAAUGUAGCAGAUAAACCUAUUGAUCCUCAUCUUGUUCUUCUUCAUCUCUGCAAACUCUUCGAACGAGAUCACGACCUUCCUCCCAAAGCACUCGUUGAUAUGAUUGAUAUCCAAGACCCGGUCGUACUGGUAAUCCACCUUGGAGCUCGGGAGGACCAGGAUGCGGUCGAGAAGCGCCGCGAAGAACAUGUGCUUCUCCAAGCAGAUCAAAUGGUUGGACAUCUGACCCGACAAGCAGAUCGCGAACAAGAAUCUGUCCUUCUUCGGCUUCCACUCGAUCGUCCUCCUACCGGCAGGUCUAUCCACCUUCCUGCACACACCGGUGCCAGGACCAGAUACGUCGAAGCUACCAUUCUCGUCCAGGGCCUCCGACGAAAGAUUCCCCAACCGGUGAGACGAGAGCAGCGCCCCCUGGAUCUGCUUGUUCAGCUUGAUCUGCCGGAUCAGCGUAGAUCUGAACUCAUCCAUGGUCGACGCCGGAAUUGCGGCAUUUGGUCGAUCGACCUUGCGAGAUGUGGUGGAAUUCGGAGACGAAGUGGAAUUUGGAGCCAAGAAAGGAGGAGAAGGAAAAGAAGCAGCAUCGGCGGUGGCUGUGGCUGCGGAGACAGUAAGAUUCCAAAGCCGCAGAAGCUCAGAUUGCUGGUUCUUGAGGAGAUAGAGAGCGUGGAGCUCGGCCUCCCGCAUCCGGUCGCCGGCAACGGACGAAGAGGAGGAGGAGGCGACGGGGAUGACGGAGACGCCCCGAAAGAGGCGGCCGAGAUCGAAGGAGAAGAAAAGGAGGACGAGGAGCAAGGGGAGGGAGACGGCGAGGAGGUAGUGCUUGCUGGACCACAACCGGCGGCCGACGCGGGCGGGGAGGUCUCCGGAGAUCUCGAAAGCAGGGUACGACAAUCGGCGGCGGUGAAAGGGUUUUGCCGCGGCGGUGGAGUCGUUCUGGGGGACCAGGGUCCGGCGGUCCUCCUCCUCGUCGUCGGAGGAGGAGGGGGAGGGGGAAGCCGGGGGUGAGUCCCUCCUCGCCAUGGGAAACCGGGGAGGAGGAGGAGGAGGAAUCGGGAAUGCGAGCGGGCGGAGACGAGAAGACGAGGCAGAAUGAAGGAGAUGAUUGCAGAUGUCGGCGGGUGGAGGAAAGUGAUGUCGUAACUCCCACCGACUGAGUAGGCGCUCGAUACCUUUACAGUGAAACCCACGCAAUGAUUUGCUCAUGUAAACGAUAACGGGUCGGAUUUUAUUGAAAUAUCCAUUCCGAUCCGACCCACUUAAAAAAUAAGGACAUAAAUAAGAAAAAUACGUUAGUCGGGUAUAUUUAGACACUCAUCUCAAUCCAACCCAUUUAAAUCAGAUUAAUUAAUAAAAUAGAUAAUGUAAUUAAAUUUGAAUAUUUAAAUAUUAUUUGAGUUUGUAAAUUAGGAUAAAAUUCACGAAUAUUCCACCACAUCAAUUUGUACGUAUAAUUAUAUUUUGAUAAGAUGAUUUUCUACUAUUGAAAUUUUUGUGAGGACUCUUUUAUCAAUGCAUUCCCUCUCUCUCUCUCUCUACUGUAUCAUUCAUUAUUUGCAGCUACUCCAAUGAAUGGGUUGGUGAAGUCAUAAGAAUUAGUGUCACAGUCACAUUUUACUAGAAUUUUCCUGCCCACUCUUGGAUCUAAAUGGCAUGUGAAGGUUCUGCUGCUGAUUGGCCAAGUAUCCUUUGUUAUUCCCAUACGUCAACUGGUCUCAUUCUUCAUAGACUUGCUGUCUUUGUUCCAGUUGAAUCUGUUCAUCUUGUAUCACAUGUAUGUAAUUGUACAGAUCUAUGUUUGUUUACCUUAAAAAAAUACAAAAGUUUAUGUUGACUUGUUUGGGUCUCCAUACUUAUCGGCUUCUAUCAUACUCUUGAACCGGUCAAAGUAACCACGAUUGAACAUCAUCACAAUCUUCAAUCUCUUUGUAAUUUGAGACUGUUCUCUAUCUCAUGUCUUUUGGUAUCUAGAUGCGGACAUGGUGUCAUCUUGUCCUCAAGUUACAAAACCAUUCAAAUGACCCUUGUUAUGGUAAAUAACUUUUUUAGCCGUGACCUCGGGGUCGACGCGGCUGGUUCAGGAGUCCGAAUGGCGGGGAUCUUGCGUGGCGUGCCUCGGGUCCUUCGGGUGGCCGACCGUGGUGAUCUGGAUGUCCCGUCAGGGGGUGAGCUCUGCCGCAGCGUCUGGGAAGAGGCAACCUCGUCUCGCACCUGCACACUGGUCGGGUCGGAGGCUCGACCCGACCCCUCCGACGAUCAAGUUAGCGAAAGACGGAGAGGGGGUUUCCAGAGAAGUAGUACUUUUAGGGUGUGUCCCGCCUCCCCUUUUCCUAAUGAAAGAGAGGGUAUUUGUAGGGAAGCUUAUCGUUUCCUGGUGUGCCCACCUGUGUGAGGCAGGGUCGCACCUCUGAUGGCGUCUGACAUCGUUACUGACGUUGCGUGGAGGACAGGAGCGUUGCAGGGUAUGGGCGAGGGUCGGUAGUCAUCCUACCCUGCCAUGGUCAAUCGUGCGGGGUUGGAAGCCGUUGCCUGAUAGCGGGGGUUGCUAACGCAAGUCGAAUCAGCGUUAUGGCUCUCCUCAUUGGGCAGAGUGGCACCCACGUGGGGCUUUCGACGUGACACGUCACGUCGCCAUUAUUUCCCAUAUCAUAUUCCCCCCCCCCCGGAAGAAGCUAUGCGUCGGGGACGGCAGUCGGGUGAGGGAGCACGAGGCAUGGCUUUAACUCAGAUGACAUACGGUAGAGUUUGUUUUACGCAGGUGGGAUCUUCGGGCAUUCUGCGGGCGAGGAGCUAGACGCCGACGGGCUGACCGCACUAGUGUGCCUCGGGCGUUACGCGGCCGAGGAGCAUGACGCAGGCGGGCUGACCGCGCUGGUGUGCCUCGGGCAGUACGCGGCCGAGGAACAUGACGCAGGCGGGCUGACCGCGCCUGGUGUGCCUCGGGCAUUACGCGACCGAGGANNNNNNNNNNNNNNNNNNNNNNNNNNNNNNNNNNNNNNNNNNNNNNNNNNNNNNNNNNNNNNNNNNNNNNNNNNNNNNNNNNNNNNNNNNNNNNNNNNNNNNNNNNNNNNNNNNNNNNNNNNNNNNNNNNNNNNNNNNNNNNNNNNNNNNNNNNNNNNNNNAUUACGCGACCGAGGAGCAUGGCGCAGGUGGGCUGACCGCGCUGGUGUGCCUCGGGCAUUACGCGACCGAGGAGCAUGACGUAGGCGGGCUGACCGCGCUGGUGUGCCUUGGGCAUUACACGGCCGAGGAACAUGACGCAGGCGGGCUGAUCGCGCUGGUGUGCCUCGGGCAUUACGCGACCGAGGAGCAUGUCGCAGGCGGGCUGUCCGCGCUGGUGUGCCUCGGGCAUUACGCGACCGAGGAGCAUGUCGCAGGUGGGUUGACCGCGCUGGUGUGCCUCAGGCAUUACGCGACCGAGGAACAUGACGCAGGCGGGCUGACCACGCUGGUGUGCCUCGGGCAUUACGCGACCGAGGGACCUUGGGCGAUAUGUAGCCGAGGGAUGGUCUUAAGCGACAAGUGGUCGAGGAGGUACUUGAUUCCGGCCAGCGAUUGAUUGCUCAUGCGCGUGCGGGUGGCCGGGCUCGCUUUUCCCUGGGGGAGGAUCGAGGGGCCGCCCUCUCCGGGGGCUGUCGUGUUUCGAGGCCGGUGUGAUUAGCAUUUUUAAGGCGGACAUGGUUGGCGCUUUUAAGGUUUGAUUAAUGCUUCCGAGGCUGAUAUGAUUAGCACCUCCGUAUCUUGCACCGCGCUGCAAACGGCUGCCACGUCAGGCUGCAUUUAUGGCGAGGUGACGCUCUCGGUCUUCGCAGCGCACUUUGGGAGGGGAAGGGUUGCCGUUUUGGCGGGAUGCGGCCAGUUUAUAAGUAGUGUGAAGCUAGCCAUCGGGGGUCUCUCCAUCUGUCUUCGUCGCGCUGCUUCGUACCUCGUUGUUUUGCUUGUACCCGUUGUUCCUUCUUUUCUUGCUAAAGGUCGGUAAGAAUGGUGUCUUCCCCUUCCCAUUCGUCCUCUUCUUUGUCGAAAGCCGGGGAGACGACGACUUCGUCGAAUCCCCCCUCGUCAUCCGACGGGGAGGCUGCCCCGGCCCUGGAGGCCCUGAUGUGGCCGCACGACCAUGACUCCACCGUGGGCGAGUCGUCGCUGAGCCUCCUCCGGGAUCGCUAUGGCAUCCCGGAGGAGUUUGUCCUUCUUGCUCCGGAGCAUGGUCAACGGGCGUAUGACCCGAUUCUUAGGGGUUUUGCCCUCACCCUUGACGCUUUUGAGGCCGGGCUGCCCUCCCCUUGCACGUCGUCAGUCUCCUGUCUUUCCUGGUGGCGCAUCUCCCCGUCCCAGAUGGCGCCGAACUCAUGGCGAUAUCUGGUGGCGUUUCUAGGGGAGUGUCAUUAUGCCAAUAUAACCCCGACCUGUGCCCUCUUCCUCUCCUACUUCCGUCUUUGUAAGGGGUCGGGGGGUUACCAUUUGUCCGCCCGAGCGGGCUUCCGAGUGGGUGGAGCCCAUUCCAGUAAUAAGGGGUGGAAGGAGCGCUUCUUUUUUGUCUGCCGCUCGGGGGAUUGGGGAUUUGGGGUCCGCUGGGGGGCGCGUACGAUAGACAACUCCGCCCCGGUUUUGGACGAGGAGGGGCGCCGAGAGCUCCAGAGGCUUAGAGAUAUCCUCCCGGCUUCCAGCGCCAUCCGGAAUAUGUCCGAGCGGUUGUUGGUGGAGGUGGGCCUUAGCCCGGUGCCUCUAGGUACGCUCCAAGGGGCGGUUUCUUUAGGGGUUUUUCUUUUUUCUCUUUUCCUUCGUGGACUAUCCACUUAGCUGACCGUCGAUUUCUUCGUAGAGAUGGUGCUUCUUGAAGCCUUGCGUGGAAGAAGAACUUUUUCGGCCGCGUCGGGUCGUUCGCCUUCCGUCGCCAGGGUAGGUACGAGGGAGGCCCCCAUGGAUGUCGAGGCUGGUCGGCCUCGGAAGAGGGCGCGGGUGCCUCCCGGUGAUGGUUCUGAGGCGGUCGUAACUCCGACGACGGAAGGCGCCAUUGCAUCGACAGUGGAAGCCGCCGUAGCCCCUGCGUUAGCAUCACGGGGAGCCCCGGGGAGGGAGAGACCGGUACGAGCGGGAACGUGGUGGUGGAGGCGCCUCGUCAACAUUCGAUUCGCAAGCUCCUUCGCCUUCCGCUCGGGAGGGAGGACGAGCCCUACUUGGCACGGGAGGUGGGCGCUCUCCCGCGCGGCGCGGCCACUGAUCUGCUAACGGGCCGGUGUGACGGUCUUACCCGGGGCAGCCGGGUGUGGGCCGACGGGGAUUGUGCGGCGAGGUUUGUACGAGGAGGACUUCACCCCGACAUAGCUCGGGAUCUGUAUACCUUGUCCUCUGAGGUCUUGCUUAGCAAAUCAGCUAAGUCACUGUUGUGGGUAAGUUUUGUUCCGCCCUCCAGUCUGCAUACUUUUGGACAGGCUUUAUUCUGACUUUACCCUUUCACCAGGGCAACCACUACGCUGCCGCUCUGAUGGACCGCGUUCGCGAUGCGGGACGAGUCAUCUCCGCUCUGAGUAGCCGUAAUGCCGAACUCCGGAGGCAGGCGGACGAGGCUCGAGCUGGAGCGGGUCCCGAGGCAGUUGCGGUGGUCGAGCAGCGCGCCUCGGAUUUGGAGGCGGAGGUGACGCGUCUUCGAUCCGAGCUUCAGUCGUCCGUGGAGCGGCUCGCGGAGUUUCAGGCGCGUCUCGAAACGUCCGAGGAGCGUAAUACGGAGCUCCAGACUCUGUUGAGGGCGUCGGUGUCCGAGGCUCGCUCGGUGAGGAAGGACUCUGUUGAGCUGAUCCGACGCCUUGAAGAGUCGCGGGCCGAGGCACAAAGGGCCUCCGAGUCCCUGGAUGCCGAGAUCCGCCAAUGGCCGGGGAAGGAGAAGAAGCUGAUCGAGGACUACAAGGGUUCCUCGGGCUUCCAGCUCGGCCUUGUUCGGACCGGGCGAGUUUCGUACGAGUAUGGGUAUUGGGUUGCCCUUGCUCGUUUCAAGGCGCGCCAUCCUGACUCGGAGGUCGUAGAGGAUCCCUUCGGUUCGUUCCCCGAGGAUCUGGGCGUCGACAUGCCAGCCGAGGUUCCUUUUGACGAUAACCCAGAUGCCCCCGAGGAAUGAAGAUCUCUGUUCCUUUUGCUUUGUCUUGUAAUGCGCCUUUUUGAAUAAAACAUGGUCCCGCUCUUCUUCUCAAUCGUAUGUCUGUGUUUUGGUACGCCUCUUUCUUUGGCCAAGUCUCUUGCUUAUGGAAAGAACCUUUUGAGGUUAUGGGUGUUCCAAGUCCUUGGCAGCGAUUGACCCAUCAUCGUGGCGAGUCGGAAUGUCCCGGUUCCGAUAACUUCGGUCACCCGAUAAGGUCCUUCCCAGUUGGGAGCCAACUUGCCUCGUGCCCGGGUCGGAUCGCUGACCUCGGUCCUUCGCAGGACCAGGUCGCCCAAUUUGACGGGUCGGGGUCGUACCUUUCGGUUGUAAACCCUUGCGACCGCCCUUUUGUAAGAAAGGGCUCUUACGUGUGCGUCGGCACGCCGCUCCUCCAGCAGAUCGAGGGCGGCUCGAAGUCCUUCUUCUGAGGCUUCCUCGUCAUAGCUUUGUGUUUGAAGGGUGGCGAUGGCUACCUCGGGGGGGAGGACCACUUCAAUUCCGAACGUGAGGCUGUAAGGGGACUCUCCAGUCGCGGUUUUGGGAGUGGUGCGUAGCGCCCAUAGUACGCUAGGGAGCUCGUCUGUCUAAGUUGAUCGAGUUGCGGACACUCUUCUUUUGAGCCCGUCUAGGAUGGACCGGUUGGUUACCUCCACCAGGCCGUUUGUCUGAGGAUGGGCCACCGAGCUGAACCUUAGCUGGAUUCCGUGGUACGCGCAGAACUCCCGAAACUUCCGACCGGCGAACUGUGGCCCAUUGUCUGUGAUGAUGGUGUUCGGUAGGCCAAACCGGGUCACCAAGUUCUUCCACACAAACUUUUCUAUCUGUUGUUCCGUGAUAGUCGCCAACGGCUCGGCCUCUACCCAUUUUGUGAAAUAAUCUACGCCUACGACGAUGUAUCUCCGCUGUCCCGAUGCUGGGGGGAAGGGACCGAGGAGGUCCAAACCCCAUUGCGUGAAUGGCCAAGCGCAGUCGAUAGGGGUUAACGGGACUGCGGGCAGCCGAGGUGUGCGGGCGUGUUCUUGGCAUGAGCUACAUCGUUGUACGUGGGCCUUCGCGUCCUGACACAUGGUUGGCCAGAAGUAGCCUUGGCGGAGUAUCUUGUGCGCCAGGGUUCGCCCGCCGAUUUGUUCCCCGCAGACCCCUUCAUGGACCUCAGCCAGGACGGUCCGGGCUUCGUCGGGCUCUAAGCACCGCAGGAGGGGGUACGAGAAGGACCGCUUGUAGAGGCGUCCACCCACCUCGGUGUACCAUGCGUGUGAGCGACGUAGGCGUCGAGCCGUGGCCUUAUCGGGCGGGAGAGUCCCGUCCCGUUUGAAGUGGAGCAUUUCUUGUACCUAGGUGAUGGGCGCGCCACCAGUAGCUGCGGCCGCGACUUCGAUGGCACGGGCGAGUAGCUCCUCAACCUCGAGCCCGACUUCGGGGACAGGUUUCGAUGCCAGCCUAGCUAGCGUGUCGGCGCGCCCGUUCUACCCUCUCGGGACGUUAGAUAAUGUAAAGUGAGGGAACUUGGCGGUCAGGUUCUUUACCUAUGCCAGGUAUCUUGCCAUGGUCGGGUCGCGGGCCUCGUAUCCUCCGCUGAGCUGUUCGGCCACCAGCUGGGAGUCAGUGAGGACGUGGACGGCAACCACCUGCAUCUCGAGGGCCAAUCUAAGUCCUGCUAGGAGCGCCUCGUAUUCCGCCUCGUUGUUAGUGGCCCGGAACCCGAAGCAGAGGGAUUAUUCGAACGACCGCCCGUCGGGAGCCUGCAGCACCAGCCCCGCGCCAGCGCCUUUUGAGUUGGUCGAACUGUCGACGUGCAGGACCCAGGCCUCGGGAGGCUGCCUGAGGUUCUCGUCCCCGAUCUGGGUCAACUCUGCGAUGAAGUCAGCCACGGACUGGGCUUUAAUAGCUGUCCUGGGCACGUAUUGAAUGUCAUGUUCGCCGAGCUCCACCGCCCAUUUGAGGAGCCGUCCUGCGACAUCAAACUUGGACAAGACCUGACGAAGUGGCUGGUCCGUAAUUACCUCCACCGGGUGGGCCUGGAAAUAAGGGCGUAGCUUCCGAGCGGAUAAUAUGAGCGUGAGCGCUAGCUUCUCGAUCGGCGGGUAUCGUUCCUCUGGACCAUUGAGAACGUGGCUGACAUAGUAAAUCGGGAGCUGAUCGCCGGAGUUUUCUUUAACUAGGACGGAACUUACCGCGUGCGGGGAGGCAGCCAGGUAAAUGCUCAGCUUCUCACCGGGGGAGACUGAGGCGAGUCGAGGAAGGUUGGCCAGGUGUUGUUUCACUUGCUUGAGGGCUUCUUCGCAUUCCGCCGUCCACUGAAAACCCUUUGGGUUCUUAAGUGCCCUGAAGAAAGGAAGGCAGCGAUCACCCGAUCGGGCGAGGAAGCAUGACAUGGCGACGAGCUUCCCGUUGAGGCGCUGCAGAUCUUUGAUCGUGCGAGGUGGUUGCAUGUUGAUGAUCGCCUGGACCUUUUCUAGGUUGGCGUCGAUCCCUCUUUCGUGUAUAAUGAACCCGAGGAACUUCCCUGACGUGAUGCCGAAGGCGCACUUAGCGGGGUUGAGCCGCAUGUCGUACUUGCGCAACAUGGCGAACGCCUCGGACAGGUCGGCUAGGUGGGCUCCGGCCUCUUGGCUCUUUACGAUCAUGUCGUCGACGGACACUUCCAUGUUCCGUCCGAUCUGGUGGGCAAACAUUUUGUUCACCGUCCUCUAGUAUGUAGCCCCGGCGUUCUUUAAUCCGAAAGGCAUAACUUUGUAAAAGUAAACGCCUUGGUCGGUGAGAAAGGCCGUAUGUUCUUGAUCUUCGGGUGCCAUCCUGAUCUGGUUAUAUCCAGAGAAGGCGUCCAUAAAUGAGAGGCGGGCGUGACCUGCCGUGGCAUCGACCAGCUGGUCGACCUUCGGAAGGGGAUAACAGUCCUUCGGGCAUGCAUUGUUGAGACUGGUGUAAUCAACGCACAUCCUCCAGCUUCCAUUAGCUUUUUUGACGAGGACUACAUUCGAAAGCCAUUGGGGGUAACUGGCUUCUUUUAUGAAGCCUGCCUCCAGGAGCCGAGCCACUUCUUCUCGCACGACUAUCUGCCGCUCUGGGGCCUGCCGUCUCAGCUUUUGUUUUACUGGGCGGGCUUCAGGUGAGAUACUGAGGUGAUGCAGGGCAACUUCCGGGUCGACGCCUGUCAUGUCAGAGGGUGACCAGGCGAAGACAUCAGCGUUCUUCUAUAGAAGGCCGACGAGCUGUCCUCGUUCUUGCUCGGGUAGCUCCGACCCGAUCCUAACCGUUUGCACCGACCGAUCCUUUAGCAGCGGCACAGCGAUGGUGGACUCGCUCGGCUGAAGGUGGGGGGACGUCUUCUACGUUUCUCGGGGGUCUGCCAACGGCGACUCAGUCCUGGCCUUCUUGUGUAACGAGACGGCGGUCAGGUAGCAGCGCCGGGAUUCCCGAGGACUUCCUGAGAUCUCUCCGGUCCCGGCGUCGGUCGGAAACUUCACAGUUUGGUAGUAGGUCGAGAUGACGACUCUGAUCUUGUUGAGGGUCGACCGACCGAGAAUGGCAUUGUACGCGGCGGGGAGGUCGAUUACCAAGAAGGAGGUCAUUAUUGUCUUCGACCUUGGCGGGUUUCCCAGGGUUAAGGGCAAAGUGACCGCCCCUAGUGGUGAGAUUGAAUCACCGGUGAAUCCAGUGAGCGCCGAGGAUAUCGGCUUCAUAUUGUCUCUGGAUAGACCGAGCUUCUGAAAGGCGUCGUAGUAGAGUAUGUCGGCCGAGCUCCCGGUAUCGACCAUGAUUCUCCUCACCUGAGCGUUGGCGAUCCUGGCUGAUACCACGAGCGCAUCGUCGUGCUCGGCUUGUUCGGGCGUUCUAGCCGGGAAGGUGACGUUAGGCCCGGGCGCGUGUCCAGGGGUUUCGGCCGAGGCGGCUCUAGCGUACGCCUUCCUUCCGGUCAUGGAAUCCCCACCAGACGCGAGGCCUCCUGUUAUUACGUCGAUGUGUCGCUCGACGGGGCACUCUGGGCAUGGCGAAGGUUCCUUAUCUGGGCGGAGGUACUGGCCGAGGUGUCCCCUGCGAAUGAGCUCCUCGAUCUGUCUCUUUAGCUCCCGACACUGUUCAGUGUCGUGCCCAUGUUGCCGAUGGAAGCGGCAGUACUUCGACUGGUCUGCCAGAGCCCGUGGACUUCUCAUUUGGUAUGGCUCUUUGAGCAGCCCCUUUUCCCUUAUGUGAAGGAAUAUUUUUGUUUGGGACGAGUUCAAGGCUGGGAGAGGGGGCCUCGGAGUAGGCGGGUCGGAUCGGUCCAAUCUACGCAGAGAUGCCGCGGGUUGCUGCUGCCGAGGCGGCUCUGGCUUGGUCCCCUUGUGUCCCCCGGGCCUCCCGGCCAUCCAUGCUUCCGCGGCGACGAACUGACUCGCACGCUGGAGCAUCUCGGGCACAAUCGUAGGAGGUCGUUCUACUAGGGACCAGAAGAACCUUGAGGGCCGCAAGCCAAUCAUGAACGCCUGCAUCAGUAGAGAGGGGUGAGCAUCCGAGAGUCCUCGGAUCUGUGUCGUAAAGCGGUUCAAGAAGUGAGAGAGGGACUCAUCCUCCCUUUGGUUGAGCUCGAGGAGCAGCGCCACGGAUGGCUUCGGGGGGCAUAGGCGAGGAAGUUGAGCUCGAAGUCCCGGGCGAGCUGGUCGAAGGAAGUGAUGGACCCGGACUUGAGACCGUCGUACCAUGCGCGGGCCGAUCCCCUCAAAGUUGUCGGGAACACCCUGCACAUUAAGGCGUCGGAAGUCCCGUAUAGCGCCAUUUGGGCGCAGAACGCGGCUACGUGAUCCGCGGGGUCAGUGGCGCCGUCAUAGGCGUCCAGGGAUGGGAGCCGAAAGUGUGACGGGAUGGCCUGAUCUUGUAUUUCGGGUGCGAACGGGGACCCUUGGUAUCCGUCCGCCCCGGGCUCCCCAUUUGUCCUGCGAAUCUCUUAUUGCACUUCGUUGAGACGUUGAUUGAAGAGACGCACCUGGGCCCGCAGGGUGUUCGUCGGGUCUAUGGACGGUCGUUCGGGCUCCGGGCGGCUCGACGUGCCUUCCGCCUCCCGGUCCCCGAGCAGGGCCGUUAGGUUUCGAGGCGACAGAAGGGGCUCGGGGAGCGACACGUGCAUCCGGGGGUCGGGCUCCCGCUGUUGCAAAGGCCGGGUUGCAUGUGGGGGCGUUGGCUGGGAGACGAGCGGGAUGAUAGUUUGUACCACGCCCGCCAGUGUUCGCACUUGGUGGGCGAGAUCGUGGAAGGCUUCGGGCGAAACGGGUGGUGGGCCGACGGGGGCAUCGGGUGGCGACAAGCCCGGGUCGUUGAACAGCCGCCAGUAUCGCUCCGAAGUCGUGGCGGGGCGUUCGUCUCGAAGCCCCUCCCGGGAGGGAUGAUCUUCCGGGGUUCUAGCCGGGCGCGACCCCGUAGUUGCGGGUUUGCCCAAGUGGGUCUGCUGAUCGAUCGACAUUCGGAGGCCCUCCUUCUAGCGCCAAUCUGUUAUGGUAAAUAACUUUUUUAGCCGUGACCUCAGGGUCGACGCGGCUGGUUCAGGGGUCCGAAUAGCGGGGAUCUUGCGUGGCGUGCCUCGGGUCCUUCGGGUGGCCGACCGCGGUGAUCUGGAUGUCCCGUCAGGGGGUGAGCUCUGCCACAGCGUCUGGGAAGAGGCAACCUCGUCUCGCACCUGCACACUGGUCGGGUCGGAGGCUCGACCCGACCCCUCCGACGAUCAAGUUAGCGAAAGACGUAGAGGGGGUUUCCAGAGAAGUAGUACUUUUGGGGUGUGUCCCGCCUCCCCUUUUCCUAAUGAAAGAGAGGGUAUUUGUAGGGAAGCUUACCGUUUCCUGGCGUGCCCACCUGUGUUAGGCAGGGUCGCACCUCUGAUGGCGUCUGACACCGUUACUGACGUUGCGUGGAGGACGGGAGCGUUGCAGGGUAUGGGCGAGGGUCGGUAGUCAUCCUGCCCUGCCAUGGUCAAUCGUGCGGGGUUGGAAGCCGUUGCCUGAUAGCGGGGGUUGCUAACGCGAGUCGAAUCAGCGUUAUGGCUCUCCUCAUUGGGCAGAGUGGCACCCACGUGGGGCUUUCGACGUGACACGUCACGUCGCCAUUAUUUCCCAUAUCAACCCUCAUGGUGGUCGAGCCAGGGAGGUUGAGCUAGAUCGCGGGUGAGACAUCUUGAGUCGAUUGUGGCUUUUUUACGGUGAACCUGAGAUAGGUGGUCGAGACGAUUCUUGGCAUGACCUCAUGUGGGACUCCUCAUAUUGGCCCAAGAUCAUUGCUUCCGCAACUAUAUAUUAGUUAGCUUGUUGGAGCAUCUCAGGAAUAAUUGUAAGUGACCUCUUCAUCAAUGAUUAAAAGAACCACAAGUGUCUGAGGUCCAUCAGAUACCACCAACGAGGGAUAAGCAUCUUAAACCCAUCGGAUUUUAUCCUCCUUCUACCUUAUUCUAAGCAGUAUUGCCGUGAAAGGCUUUGGGUGCAUGUUCAUGAGGAAAUGGAGUUUAAAUUCCUUCACUGGGUGAAGGAUGACAUCGAGAGCGCCUUCAAAUGACUAUACCAUUCUCGGGUCGAGCCCCUUAGUUUUGUCAGAAAUGCUUGACACAUCAGAGUGUUUGACAUUCCACAUUUAGACCUAGAAGGCUGCGAUAUGUUCUCUUGGGUUGGAGCUAUCAUUAAAGGUCUCUAACAUCGAGAGGUGGAAGUUGGUCGGGAGGAGCUUCUCCUAGAUGCCUUAAAUAAAUGGAGAGCUACCCGAGAUAGGGUCGUUGGCGUCCCCUUUUGAGUGCUGAAACUCUCCUUGCACCUCGUUUAGAUGCUGAUUCAUUAGCUAUAAUUGGGCCCUAAGUGAGUCGUCCAUCGAGUCUGUUGAUUAGGUUUUUGACUCGGGCAAGAUUGGCCUAUGGUGCGGGAGUGAGCAAAAAUUCACUAUUAGGGAGUGUGGCACUCUGACCGACAUUUCUAUUGGCCCGAGACAAUCCAAGGGUGCUGAUAGUAGAUCAAUUUAGAGAGCCCUUAGGAGUGCUGGAGCGGAGAAGGGCUAGAUUGUUAGUCAUAGUUGUGGAGGGGGCAAUGGUUUACAUUAUCCCAACUAGCGUCUACACUUGGUGUGUGAGGCUUAUGAUGGUCUCGACAAGGAUAACUAGGUGCCCCAUACUCAUCCCCAGAGGUGAGAGCCCAGGGUCAUUAAAUAAGCAUUAAUAGCACCCCAAGGUCUAGGCCGAGGUGGACGUGUCCACUUAUGGGAAGAAGGGUAAUUACCCUUCUUGCUUGAAGGUAUUAUGUAUGGAUGGCAACACCUCCACACUAGAGCACUCAUUGAGGGGGUUUGUAGGUAAACAGUCUUAUGACAUUUGAGCCCUCCUUCUAGCAUCAAAAUAUUGACACUUUGAUGCUGUCAACCAGUGGCCAACAUGGCCUCAUCUUAUCCCGAAGGUGCAAACCCAUCUAGAUGGCCCUCCCGGUGGUCGGGCAAAAGGGUCUCUGUUGGGAAUGCAUUGGCUGAAGUGGUUCUAAAGUUGUUCCACGAUUAGGUUGGGGUAGGUUUCAAACUCCUCGACGGUUUUGCACAAAAGGUUGAUGUCACAAGGGUGGAGGGGGGAGGGGGAGGCGGAGGCGGAUGUGAUUUUUUGAUUUGACCCCUUCGACGAUCAAGUUAGCUAUGUGGAGUAAUGAAGACAUGAGGUUUUAGGGUAUAGAGGUCCGAUCUUUGUUCAGGCAUCGAGGACCGAUUUUUAUACCUAAGAAGUUUGGGAGGGCCACGGUUGAUAAACGGUUGAUCUAUACGUCCUCCUUCUAUAGCUUGACUAAUCUAUAUGGCUUGCUGCGAUGCAUCAUUAGCAAGGGAUAACAAAAAGGGGCACCUCCUGUCAACUCUGACGGUUGACAAGGUCGAGUUGAAUAGCUCCUUAUGAGCUAUCUGCAGGAGCCGACGAAAGGGGGGCACAGGUCAGCUCAAUCGUUCGAGGAUUAUUGCUCCCAACGAUCAACUCGUACCAUUUCCCGCGGGUUGCGAUCCACGAUGGUCGAUAAGUUGCUGCACCAUCGCCAAUCUAGGGGGAUGACAUGGGCCUUUUAUCUUCUAUAUCAGCUUUUUGGUGGCGAUCAGCUGGUGGACUGUCAUCGAAAUGUUUCCUAUCAAUCUGUCUCUGCAUUUGCUUCAAUUCUUAGGCUUUCUCACUUGACCUUUUAACCGUAACCAUGCAACUUGAGUUGCAGAUGCUGUUGUGGGGAGAAGAGAUUGGUCUGCAGACAAAAAGAACACAGUCCCUUUCACUUCAGCUGCAGUGACCCAUCACAACUUGCACUGUCCACAUCACUUCCUCUUAUUUUAGAGUUCAUGCAGGAAAAUUUCCCCAUACAUCUCACAUCUUGGAUAUAAGAAGUUCGUAUGAUGCAAAGAAAUAUAUCACCUCAUGCAGUGUCAGAAACACGGUGACAAUGAAAUCUCUGCUACCCUACAGCUAACCACAGUGGACAUCCAUCAGAUUUGAAGGAAAAGAAAACAAGCCUUCUACCAAACCCUGUCAUGUUUUCUUUUGUGUAUUACACAGAAUACAUCAGAUAUUACUACUGCAAACAAGGAUUUGAGGCACGGGAGGAGCUCAUCACCCUCACUCAUGACCUGUGCAUUUAUCUUUGUAUUUAGUAUGUAUAUACAAUCACACACAUCAGAAACCUCGUCGUCUUCUCCGGUGUUCUUCCAUGGAUUCAUGAGCAGGGGCUCACUGCUUCAGUCGCAAUGGCGACGGCUGCGAUUCGACGAGGAUCGACCAUAAGAUAUGCACGUCUUCGCAUUGGCAUGACUUCACAUCCUCGUAGAGGAUGUAUAUCCCUCUAUCUGUCAGUGCAAGAGAAGUCCAAUUGUAACUUCUAAUGAGGCAAAGAAUUGCUCCAAGAAUACCAAGUAGUCCUUACUGUUGAGCAACUAUUAAGAAUGAUUUAUCUACACAAACAGAAGCAUGAAGUAGAAGAACAUUGACAUACUCUUUUUGCGAGCAGAAUGCAAGCGAAACCAGAGCUUCUUCAGAGGAGAGAAGAGGGACUGAAGCCACCCCAUGGGAAGGAGAUGAGAGGUGCACUAUUUCUUCAUUGGUGAUAGGGGGAAUGGAGAGGGAGAGUGAGGAUGAGGGGAAGGGAAGUUGGAGGGUUAAGUAAUAGGCUUGCUUGAGACAGAGGUGAAGCCUAUGACACAGUUUCUGCUGCCACAAGAAUUCCAUGCUCUUACAGGACAAUCAUGGAUUACAUAUUGUCUUGGUACCGUGUCACUUUCCACCUCCCACUCUUCUCUCUCAAGCUCUCUCUGUCUCACUUCAUCAGGAAAGCUAUUUCCUGCUUUCUACACCGUAAAUCAAUGGAGAACUUUUACAUGCUGUGCUGUGUUAAUUUCUUUCGGAUCAGAACAGAGGAGCAGCCUAUUUUCCAAUGAUAAGAAAUGAGAUCAGCUAAUUAGGCCCUUUUUUGGCUUCAUAUCGUUUUCUUUCUGAGGGUUGCUCUGCUUCUAGAACUGGUCCACGAUGCAAGCAGAAGCACUGUCAACCUAAACUGGUAGUGACUCAUCAUCGCGAUACGAAUAAUGCAUCAAUGGCAUGAUUCCUCAUGUUGUCAGUAGGAUCCAUAAUGAACAGAGAUCACAGGAGCAUCUCAAAUUGUCGAGAGAGAGUUGGUCUUUGCAUUUAUCACAUGCCCAUCUUUAGAGAACUUGGAGUCGCUUUUCUUUGAGAAGUACAAAUGAAGGUUGAAUGAAAUGGCGUUUUCAGGAUCUUCCAAAUCCACACAUGAUUUGAAUGCAGGACCAACCAAGACAAGAACACAAAUCUUUUCUUAUAACCAUUUGCACCUAUGCUUUCUUUGAUGCUGUAUUACUCAUGGUUGCUGGAAUUCGAAGAGAGGGUAUUCUGGAGAGAUUACACAGAUCAUAUGGACCAGUGAUUUCUGUUCGUAGCACUUUGUUUGAAGAUGCAUGACCUCAACCUGCAACAAAACAAUGGAACCUGUAACAAAAUGAUCUAGAUUAAUGUUGAGCAUGGUUUUCAAUCAUUAUAAAUGUAUCAAGGGGCUCUUAUUUUAAUUGUUGCAACUUGAUCUUUGUUAUAGUGAUUGUUGUGAUACAAGGAUAAUUAUGUAGAAACAGGGUAAGUUUAUUUAGAAUGGAAAUUUUAUGCAGCUAAAAUAUGAGUCUCAAUAUUUGGUCUCUCUGAAAUAUAUCAGAUCAUCAUAAUUUGGAAAAGUGCAGAAGGCCCAAACUAGAGGUGUUGAAACACAAUUAACAUUCACUGCAAUGGGGUGUGUUCUUCUCCGACUGGAUGCUCGGAUGUAAUGCAGCUUGAGUUCAUCUCCAUCACAUGAAAGCAUAUGGACUCUGCCUUCAUACCUUGAUAGAUCUUUCACUCCCUGUCAUUUAAAGGUCAUUAAUGAAGAUUUUAGCAUCCCUAGGAGACUACAGCUGGGAAUUGAUCCAUCAUCCGAUAUGACCCUCCCCAUGCUCGUCCAAAAGAGUAGUCUUCUAAAGAAUUUUCUACAUCUGAACAAGUUCAAGAUAAUAAUGCUGUGGUAGCCGAUCGAUCCCACUGUCCUGUUUUCUUUCUUGUGAUGGUAGCUCAAAUGAAUAGAACUAACAGGAUAAGUAUAUUUAUUGUCUCAUUUAUAUGGAAGAUUUCAUCAUUUGUUAGUUUAUUAGCAAUUAUUUACGACUAUGCAGGAAGUCAGAGGACGUGCACUAAUAUACUUCCAAGCACACCAUAUACGACAUUUCUAACAGCUUGGCUCAGACGUUUGCAUCUUGUUGACGUCCUGCUUGCAGUCAAGCUCUCAAGUCAACAGUCCAGCUUCAUUUAAGUCCCCAUUAAUUCUAUUGCGAUUGCACCAUCACUGCCUUGAAUCACCCACAUGAAUCCACAGCUGAGUUCCUCCUCCUUCCUCGUCUUCGUCUUCGUCUUCGUCUUCCUCCACUCUCUUAAGCCGGCUUCCAUUUACUGCCAUCCCCUCGAUCCUCUCACCCCUUCCGAGAUCUCGGCCGUCAGCAACAUAAUCAAGUCCUCCCACCUUGGCUCAUCCAAAUCUCUCUCCUUCCACUAUGUCGGCUUGGACGAGCUCGACAAGCCGGACGUGCUCGCAUGGGCGUCGACCCACCGCUGGAACAAGGCAGCGCCGCCACGGCGAGCGUUCGUGAUAGUCCGGUCCGAGAAGAAGACCCACGAGAUAUACGUGGACAUCACCAACCACUCCAUCGUCUCCGACAAGGUGUACGAGGGAUUCGGCUACCCCAUGCUGAACUUCGAGGAGCAAGAGGCGGCUUCCGCCCUGCCCUUCGACUACGCGCCGUUCGUGGAGUCGGUGAAGAAGCGGGGACUGGAGCCGGAGGACGUGCUGUGCACGACCUUCUCGGUGGGGUGGUUCGGGGAGAGGAAGCAAGGGAGGCGGCUGCUGAAGAUCCAGUGCUUCCUCACGGGAGACACGGUGAACUUCUACGCGAGGCCAUUGGAGGGGGUGACGGUGGUGGUGGACUUGGACGCCAUGGAGAUCGUGGAGUACGAGGACCGGAUGGUUGUGCCGGUGCCGGGGUCAACGGGGACGGACUACCGAGCCGCGAAGCAGAAGCCGCCGCUAGGGCCGCGGACGAAGCCCGGCAUCAUCGUGCAGCCCGAAGGGAAGGGUUUCGAAGUUGAUGGCCACAUGAUCAGGUAUCUGUUCAACACUGUUUACGUAUGACAGCAAUAUAUCGUGAGCCAAUAGUUGAUAGGUUUCCUGCAUGAACAUUUUCCUAUCACAUAAUAUAAGUGAACCGAUAGAAAUAUAUUAUCUAUGCAUGUAAUUGUUGGAAUUUUCUUGCAUUGACUUGGUCAACAAUUUUAUCGGAAUACAAUAAAUAGCAAGAACAUGUCACAUUGUGUUGGAAAAUGCUUCAUCGAUGGAUUUUUGUCCACACGUUUGCAGGUGGGCCAACUGGGAAUUCCACUUGGGCUACGACGUCCGAGCCGGCACAGUCAUCUCCUUAGCAUCAGUGAAGGACUCCGAGAAGGGAAUCUUCCGGCGAGUCCUGCACAGGGGCUACGUAUCGGAGAUAUUCGUACCGUACAUGGACCCAUCGGAGGAAUGGUACUACAAAACCUUCUUCGACGUCGGCGAGUUCGGCUUCGGGCUCUUGGCGGCACCGCUGGAGCCCAUGACCGACUGCCCGGCCAAUGCCGCAUUCAUGGACGCGUACAUCACCGACCGAGACGGGUUGCCGAUCAAGCAAUCGAAUGCUUUCUGUGUGUUCGAGCGUUACUCCGGCGACGCCUCGUGGCGGCACACCGAGUUCGGGAUUCCUGGGCAAGUGGUGAGUCGACAUAGCUUCGUCGUGAUCGAAACCAUUUCUCCAUCUUGUGGACACAGGUAAAGGUCUCAGGAUUCACUCGAUUCUUCUGAUGGAUAUACUCUACUGUAGAUCACGGAGGUGAGGCCGGAGGUGAGCCUGGUCGUACGAAUGGUGUCAGCAAUUGGCAACUACGACUACGUGAUAGAUUGGGAAUUCAAAACCAGCGGCUCCAUUAAGUUAGGGGUAUGACAAAGUUGACUUCAAUAACAGUAGAUAUAUACAUCAAGAUGAGAAUAUAUAUAUAUAUAUAUAUAUAUAUAUAUAUAUAUAUAUAUAUAUAUAUAUAUAUAUAUAUAUAUAUAUAUAUAUAUAUAUAUANNNNNNNNNNNNNNNNNNNNAUGAUCUAUUUAAAUAGAUAAGAUAUAUUAUAGAUCUAAUUAAAUUUUGAUUUUGGUUAUAUGAUAGUAUUCGUAAGGAGAUGAUAUUGAUAAAAGGGACUCUCAUACUUAUUUAUUUUAAAUCAUUUAUUUUUACAUAUAAAUAGACGUAACCUUUUUAGGAUUAUAUACGAUUGGAGUUAUAUUCUUAAUCUAGUCCCUAUUCUAUUGUUUAGUGGUCCAAUGAAUGAGUCUAGUUGUCGAAUCAGUAUUGUAACAACUUUUGGAUUGGGUGAUAAUAUACUUAUAGAUCAAAUAAUUUUUUUUUGAAUGAUAUCGAAAGAUAUACGUAACUAAACUAUAAUCUAUGGUUAUCUUAUUUCAGUUCUUAGUAUUAAAGUUUUUCUAUAUAACAAAAAUAUGGUCAUAGUUUUAUGCUUAUAAUUGGUAUCAGAGUCUUAGUUUUAAAAUCAAAUAUCUUAGAUAAUAAAAAUAUAUUAGAUCUAUUUUAUAUUUAGAUCUAUUUAUUAGCAUCAUUUACUUAGGAAAAUAUGUUAUUCAAUUUUGAUUAUAUGAUGUUUGAACAAUAUGUCUAUGUUGUCGAUUUACUUUCGUAUCUCUUCUGUCUUGUUUGAUAUCUGAAUCUAUUCAUCUGUGUUCCUUACCGGCUUAUGGGCAAUGUAAUACGAGUGAAACCAUGAUGGUAGUAUGUUACUUAUAUUUGGUCAACAAUAACAUUAUUGAGGGCGAUGACCUUCGUUGGUCAUUAUCUCAGUCAUUGGCGAUGACUAAGCCAAAUAGUAGUGUUGUUGCAUGUAGCGAUGUCUGCCUAUGUGAAUUAGCCAAGGCAUUGCUGUGGCUGCACACGCAAUGGUGUCGUUGUGUGCGAUAGCACAACGAUUCUAUCGCCUUUGACUGAUGAUUGCAACGAUGCUGCUACGUUGGUGUUUGCUAGCAACAAUUGAUGUCAACGAGAAGCUGGAGGUUGGGGUCGACUAGUGGUUGCACGAUGGUUGUAGGGGUCAUCGGUUAAUCACAAACACAUGCACAAUCGAAGAUGACUUGUACGACAAUGAUAGCCACAUGCAUGAGAAUGGUCGUGCGCGAGUACAGUGGAAUACCGUUGCUACCGUAGGGGGUCAUUGAUCAACCACAAAGAGAGUUCGGAUUGGCGAUGUGCAAGCAACAUAUGACCUUGCAGUAAAGGCCUUGUGUAGGCUUAGAUAGCUAAGGAAACAAAAUGGGAUUAGAGUUUUUCACCCAUUAAAAUACUAUUAUACCCUUUUGAAUUAUUUCAAUUUCAAUUGAUGUCCCUUUAAUAGUUCUACCCUAGAAAUCAGAUAAAAUUAUGAAAUAAUAUUUAUUUUUUCACUUAAAGAUUUGAUCUAUGUUUUACCAUGAUUACAGUUAACAAAUAUUUUUUGUAUUGAUAAUAUUUAAUAUUUAUUAUUUUAUUAUUAUUAAAUUAUUUAUGCAUAAAUUAGAUAAAUAAAUAUAUGAUAAAUAUUAUUUAUAACUUACAUUCCUAAGUUUUAUUUGACCUUAAUCAAUAUUAUAUUCUAUAUUAUUAUAUUGAUCUUAUAGCUAUCAAAGUGAUAUUAAUCAAUAACUUAUAAAAUUAGAUUAAAAAUUAACUCUAAAUGAUAUUAAAAAAUAAUAUUCAUAGUGACACACAUAAUUCAAAGAUAUAGAUAAUCUAAGAAAAGAAUUUACUUUCAAGAAUUAUAUGAUUGAGUAUGAUGAUAUUAUUUUGGAUAUUCUUAUAGCUUAGGAUUAUAUAGUUAAAGAUAACAAUAAUAUUCCAUAAGAAAUAUAUGAGUCUUUCACAAAUAAUUUUAUUUGAACACUAAAUAUAUUAAUAUUUUACUAAAAAGUAAAAUAUAAAUAAUAUUAAUAGUUCAGCAUAUCUUAGAAAAUCAAAACAUUAAUAUAUUUUUAUAUUUUAUAGUAGUACUUCAUUCCUUAUAUUUUUAUAUUUCUAGUGUCCCUAUAUUAUCUGGUUCAAAUAUUUAGAAUGAUUAGAGCAUGUAUAAUUUACAUUGAGUUAUCUGGUUCAAAUAUUCAAAAUGAUUAUAGCAUGUAUACUUCACACUAUUAGAUCUUGAUCUAGCAUUGCUUGUUGAAAGACCUACAAACUUGAAUGAUAAGAGCACCAUAGAACAAAUCAAUAAAAUGAAUGCUUAGGUAAGAUUUAAUAGACUCAGUCUAAUGUUUAUAAAAUUGAUAAUUGUAAAUAAUAUAAAAAAAUUAUUAUCACUUACAACUAGCAUAUAAGAAUAUUUAAAGGCUAUAGAAGAUAGAUUAAAUUUAUUGAUAAGUUAUUAGCUGACAUAUUAAUGAAAGAAUUGACUAUAGUUCAAUAUAACAAUACUCAAGGGAUUCAGGAUUACAUCCUUAAUAUGAUUAAUAAGGUUGUGAAAUUUAAAAUGUUUGACAUGAAUGUAGAUGAGUUUUUUUUCAUCCAAUUCAUUUUUAAUUCUCUUCCUCCUUAGUUUGGUAUUUUCAAGAUUUACUACAAUAUAAAUAAGGAUAAAUGAGACAUAAAUGAGUUAACUAGUAUAUAUAUCAACGAAGAAUUAAUAUUAAGGUAGAAAAGAUCUUAUAAUAUUUUGAUUAUUACUCAAAGAGUUAGUAACAAGAAAAGAAGGUUGAAGUAUCAUCUACCAAAUAAAUUUAUCGGGUCUGAAAAUACUAGUAGAUUAAUAAAAAGAAAACAUUCUUAGUAAAGUAUUUCUUUUGUGGUAAGAAAAGAUGUGAAAAGAGAUUUCAUUAAAUGCAAGGUUUGAUUUGAAAAGAAAGAUAUAAACUUAACCAUUGUAUGUUUCGAAUUAGAUAUUACAAAGGUUUUUUCUAAUACUUAGUUAAUUGAUUCUGAUCCUCCAUCUCAUAUUACUAAUAAUAUGUAAUUAUUUUUUUCAACCCAAAAGUCAAAAGAACAUGAAAGGUUCGUUAUUGUGAGGAAUUAUCUUAAACAAAAGUAAUUGUAGUAGGAACUUAUCAUUUAUACUUAAAAGACGAGUUAUCUAAUGAAUUUUACGGACACAUGCUAUGUUUUUAGUAUUUCAAAAAAAUUAGUUUCUCAAUCUAGAAUUGAUAAGUUAAAAUAUUUUAUUUCUUUUGGUGAUAGUAAACUUAGUAUACUUUAUGAUUAAGUAAAAGUUAGUUUUGAAAUUCUAUACAAUGGUUUAUAUAAAAUUAGUUUAAAAUUUGAGUUUGUAAAGACAUUGAUGAUAAGAAAUCUUCUAUCUUGCGAUCGAGAAGUUUGGGGCAUAUCUCUAAGAAAAAAAUUAAAAGAUUAUUGAAUGAUGAUAUUUUGAAAGAUUUAGACUUUAUUGAUUUUGAUGUCUUAUUCAAAUAUAAAGAAAAAUACUAUAAGAAGUAAAGAACUAUAUGAGAUAUUUACGGAUCACUUCAUGUUUUCUAUUUUAGUGAAGAGAGAUAUUUUAUCAUAUUUAUAUAUAACCUAAUAAGACAUGACUAUGUAUAUCUAAUAUAUAAAAAGUUUUAGGCUAUAUCAAGAUGUGGUCAAAGGUUUUUUUAAAAAAGAAGACAUUAAUUAUAAUGAAAUAGUUUUUUCGGUUUCUAGAAAGGACUCAUCGAGGAUCAUUAUGAUAUUUGUAGCCCAUUAUGAUAUUGAGUUAUAUCAAAUAAAUAUAAAAAUAAUAUUUUUUAAUGAGAAUUUAGAUGAGAAAAUAUGCAUAGAAUAACAUAAAGAAUUUAUAAAGAAAGGAAUGGAAUGUUCGGCUUACAAAUUUAGGAAAUUUAUUUAUGGCCUUAAACAAACUUUCGAAUAAUGAUAUAUAUAAUUUUAUAAUAUAAUUACUUUCUUCAUAUUUAAGAAAAUAUUAUUGAUUAACACACACACACACACACACACACACACACAUAUAUAUAUAUAUAUAUAUAUAUAUAUAUAUAUAUAUAUAUAUAUAUAUAUAUAUAUAUGAAGGUUAGUGGAACAAAUUUAUUAUAUUAGUCUUAUAUAUGAAUAAUAUUUUACUAGUAAAUUUACAUAGAAUAACAUAAAGAAUUUAUAAAGAAGGGAAUGGAAUGUUCGGCUUACAAAUUUAGGAAAUUUAUUUAUGGCCUUAAACAAACUUUCGAAUAAUGAUAUAUAUAAUUUUAUAAUAUAAUUACUUUCUUCAUAUUUAAGAAAAUAUUAUUGAUUAACAUAUAUAUAUAUGAAGGUUAGUGGAACAAAUUUAUUAUAUUAGUUUUAUAUAUGAAUAAUAUUUUACUAGUAAAUUUAUUGCAUGAAAUCAAGAUAUUUCUUGUCAAGAAUUUUAAGAUGAUUGAUAUGAAUAAGACAACUUAUGUUAUUAGUAUUAAAAUAUUCAGAGAUAUAUCUCAAGGAUUGUUAAGACCAUCUUAAAAAAGAUGUAUUGACCGAGUCUUAGAGAAAUUUAAUAUGCGACUUUGUUCAUCUAAUAAUAUAAUAUUACUAGAGGUGAAAUUCAAUCAAAACUAGUAUCCUAAGAAUGCUUAGAAAAGAUUCACAUGAAAGAUAUUCCUUAUGUAUGCAUAGUUAAACAUCUAUUAUAUACUCAAAUUAUUGGGGGACCAUAUAUCAAUUGAAAUGUUAGAUAGAUACUCGAGCAAUCUAGGAAUAAAACAUUAAAAAUCUGUAAAAAAAAGUGAUGAGAUAUCUAUAGAGGAUAAAAGAUUAUAUACUCAUAUACAAGAGAUUAGAUCAACUUAAAUUAAUAAAAAUUUUAAAUAUUAAAUUUAUAAAUUAUCUCAAUAAUAAGAAAUCUACUUAAGGAUUUAUAUUUAUAUUAGCUAAAGGGGUAAUUUCUUAGAAAAUUAUAAAGCAAUCGUUUAUUGUAUCAUCAAUAAUAUAAGCUAAAUUUAUAAUAUUCUUUGUGGUCACGAAUCAAGUUUUAUGGUUAUAAAAUUUUAUCUUCAGAUUUAGUGUGAUAGACUCAAUUGUCAAGCCAAUAAAAAUAUUUUUUGAUAAUAUUAUAGUAGUUUUAUUCUCUAAUAAUAGUAAGUAUUUUAGUGGUUCUAACUAUAUUAAGAUAAAAUACUUUGUUGUUAGAUAAAGAGUCCAAAAAUAAUAAGUAUAGAACCUUAAUAUCACUAUGAUGAUUGAUGAUUUAUUUACUAAAGCAUAAGGAACAUAUUCUUAUAAUGAGGCUUAUAAGCAAUUUAUAAAUAUAUGAUGAUAUAUAUUUAAGUGAAUAUAUAUUUCUCUUUGUUUACUUAGUUAAAGUUAUUUAUUUUUAUUAUCUUGUCUAUAUUUAUGUAUAUACAUAUUAUAGUUGAAUGUGAUAAUAUGAUUGUUUAAUAAGAUAAAUUAUAAAGAUCAUUAUGAAUUAUAUUAGAAAAAUAUAUAAAGAUCAUUGUGAUAUAUAGAAGAAAGUAUAACAUUGAUGACAUACAAUUGUUAUAUUUAUUAGAUUUAUUGGUUUGUUGUAUAAAAUUCAUGCACACAUGUAAAAUAUUUUUUAAAACUUUUAGAAUAUAAUUUAGAUAAAUUAUUUUAAAUAAAAUUUUAUUUUAUUUAUUUUAACUUUAUUUUUUUAUAUUUUAAAAAUUAAUAGAUCAGUGAAUGUUAGAUUAUAUGAUCAUAUUUAAUUGAGUAAGAUAUAUUAUAGAUUUAAUUAGAUUCUGAUUAUGGUUAUUAGUCAAUAAAAAAUAAGUUUAAUUAUAGUAGGAUUUUUAUGAGAUGAUCUUAAUAGAAGGAAUUUUUUCUAAUUACUCACAGUAAGAUUUCUUAUAAGAUUAUCUUGAUGAAAGAGAAUUUUCUAAUUACUUAUCAUAUGUUUUCUGUUUUCAUUUAUAAAUAGAUAAAAUAGACUAUAUAUGAUACAUUAUCAAUUUUUAAUUUCUUAUUGUCUUAUUCCAUCCAGAUCUAUUUUCAAUAGGUCUUAUCUCAUUACUUAUUAUCAUGUAAAAGAUACGAAGAAAAAAAAAAAGAGUCUAAUUCUUUUUAUAGAUAAAAAUCAUUGUAGCUUUUGUAUUCUAUUUCCAUUAUAGAUUAAUAUAACUGUAAUAUUUAAUCAGAUGAUAAUUCAUCGAUUUAUAAAUCAAUUAAUUUUUUUUUGAAUAACUAGAGAUAGAUACAUCUAAGUUUUGAUAUAUGAUUACUUGAUUUUAAUUCUUAAUAUUAAAUUUUUUUAACAAAAAUAUGAUUAUGAAUUUUAUGCUCAUAUAAUUUUUUUAAUCAACACACGUGGCAUCUUUAUGCAUACAGGUGUCACUGACGGGCAUCCUGGAAAUGAAGGGCACGCAGUACACUCACGCAGACCAAAUAAGUGGCGACCAGCACGGUACACUGCUGGCGGCAAACACCAUGGGCGUCUACCACGACCAUUUCGUCACCUUCCACCUCGACCUCGACGUCGACGGUCCGGACAACUCCUUCGUCAAAUCGAAGCUCAAGACCGUGAGGGUGACCGACGACAGCUCGCCGAGGAGGAGUUACUGGACGGUGGCGAAGGAGACGGCGAGGACCGAGGCCGACGCCCUGGUGGAGCUCGGCGCCGAGCCGGCGGAACUGCUGGUGGUGAACCCGAGCAAGAAGACGAAGAUGGGGAACGACGUGGGUUAUCGUCUGAUCAGCCACGGUGCGACGGCGGCCUCUCUGCUCUCCGACGACGAUUACCCUCAGAUCAGGGCGAGCUACAGCAAGAAGCAGGUGCGGGUGACGGCCUACAACAAGUCCGAGAAGUGGGCGGCCGGGCUUUACGCCGACGAGAGCAGGGGAGACGACAACUUGGCUGCAUGGACCGCGAGGUACGUCCUUUCACUACUAAAUUCUAUGGAGGAUUGGCGAAAGCUCGAAGACGAACCAUUUGUGCGUUAUUUGCAGGAAUCGAGUGAUAGAGAACACAGACAUCGUGCUGUGGUACACAGUAGGCGUUCAUCACGUACCAUAUCAAGAAGACUUUCCGGUGAUGCCGCUAUUGAGCGGCGGCUUCGAGCUACGACCUGCCAACUUCUUUGAGAGCAAUCCAUUGAUCAAGACUCCAGCUAACAAGCUAGUGCAUCUGCCCAACUGUCCCAGGAAUCCGUAGAAGCGGGCAGAGCGACCAUGAACACCUUGGAACUUGGCAUCAACGUUGUACGAAUGAUUAAGUUAUCUUCACCUAAUGACUAUAAUACCCUCACCCACGAAUACGGACUCAAUUAUCAUAUUUUAUAUGAAUAAUUUUUAGAAAUGCAAUUACUCAAUUAAACUCAUAGCGUUUACUAUUGGAUACAAUUUAUGGGUACACGUGAGGAUAAAAUAGCACUUUGACUCGGCAAUAGAGCUUUUUGACAUGGUUUUAUAUCUGAAAUUAAAUAUAGGGGUAUUUUGGUAAGGAAAAUAAUCGACAGGGGUAUUGGUGUUAUUUGGUAGAUUAGUUAGGGUAGUUAUAAUCGGAAAAAGCAAAGAAACCUUCUCACCUACAGCUCCCCCUCCUCCCAAAUCCCACGCGCACCAGCGAUGGGCUCCCUCCGCUUCCGGUUCUCGCUGCCUCGGCCCCCGAAGCCACCGCGCGGGUCCACGGGUGCGACCUCGUUCCGCCUAGCCGCGGCGGCCAUCGGUGCCGGAAUAGGCUUUGCCGUGGGCUUCUCCCUCGAAUCGGCCGCAGACACGUCCGGAUCCCGCCGGAAGCCGUGGAGCCACGCCUCCCCCAUUUGGGCCUCCCUCUCCCUCGCUGAUGGCCCCACGGGGACCUCCGUGGAGCCGAGGACUGGCGCGGCCUUCCCCACCGUUUUGGACGGCGGCCGGCGCCUCACCGGGAUCGGGCUGCGCAAGACCAGUGUCUUGGGGCUCAAGAACAUUGAUGUCUAUGCAUUUGGUAACUUUUCUGAAGAAUCUGUUGGUUAAUUUUGGAAAUGUGCAUAGUUUUGGGAUCGCAAUUGAGGUUUGUUUGUUGAUCUAGAUUUCUUCGCCUCCUCUCGAAUGUUUAGCUUUCAAAGUUUGUCCUGUUUCUUCUCUUGGCGACUUCAAUAAAAAUUGUACCUUUCUGGGCUUCUUCUUAUAUUUUAUGACUCCUUCUGAACUGGAAAUCGCCCUUGUUUCUUUGUCAUUCUUCGAUUGUGAUGUGUAAUGGAGUUCAUGGAGGUCUUGACAUUUCAGUUUCAAUGCUCGACGACUUAUUUCAGUUCCAUUUGGUUAAACAAAAAAGAAAGAACUUUUUAUGGAAUUGGGUUGAACAGGUUCGAAAUAUUAUUAUUAGGCUGCUAAAUUGGCGAUUAAUGUCUUUAGCAAUAUUUUUUGGUUUGUAAUUCCCAAUAUCUACCUCAAGCCACCGAUGUUAUGCAUCUAUCAGACACACCACACUAGUAGGACACUUCUUCAUCAAAUUAGAUCUUCAUCAUCCAGAAGCUUCUCCAUUGUAAUGAUUUAUGUCAUGAGUUGCAUGACAAUUCACCGGCCAAUUCGUUUGAGUUGCAGUGGGUGCUGUAUCUGAUCAGAAUGUAGCAGUGAAUUGUCGAUUCUCUAAUUCAUGCAGGAGUUUAUGCUGACGACAGUGAUAUGAAAGGAUUGCGUGAGAAAUAUGGCACAUUUUCAGUUUCUGAACUGGAGGAAAAUAAGGAGUUUAUUUCAGAUGUCCUGGAUCAGGAUUUACGCAUGACAGUUAGGCUUCAAAUAGUAUACAACAGACUGAGCAUAGGCUCUGUGCGGAAUGCAUUUGCAAAGACAGUAGGAAGUAGGAUGCAAAAGUUCAGUGGAUCAGACAACAGAGAAUUGCUUCAAAGGUACUCUUUUUCUGCUUGUUUCAUCGAACUCAUUAUAUUUUGUAUUAUGAAAUUUGGUAUGGGAGACAAUUAUGAGAUAGACCCAUCAGUUUCUUAAAUCAUUAAAUUUAACUUUUUAUGAUUGUAGUAAUUUACAUCCUGCAAGAAACCAACUGUCAUUAGUCAAGUGAUUUAUAUUAGAAAAAUACAAAUGGAUGAUAUGAUAGGUUUAUUUAUCUAGAAGAUAUGAGGCAAAUUUUAUCUUCCGGAAACUAAGAAGACAUUAGGAUAUGAAGCUGGACACUGAAACAUUCUUUCUGUCUUGCUGUAAGUUUUGCGUAUUCUGCUGUAAUAUUGCAUUCCUUCCAAAUUUAGUAUUUAAAUACAUACUUUUUACUUUGACUUCGUGCUAUCUAUCCAUUCAGCGACAACUUCAUUUAAUAUUUUCUUUUCUGUUCAUAUUGUAAAGGAGGUGAACAUUGUAAAAAAAUGUCCUGCAUUAUGUAAUUUUGUUGUAAACUAGAACUACGGAACAUAGUUAUAUUGGACAAUGACCUGAAUAUAAACCAGUUAAUGAGAUUCAAUGUUUUAUUUGAGAAUAACUGUUAUAAGUUGCUUUAUAUCUCUCUGUUGAUCAUUAAAAUUCACCUGUUUCAGGUUUACUUCUUUAUUUAAAGAUGAAUAUAAGCUCCCAAGGGGUUCUGUGAUAGAUCUUUCAAGGGAACAAGGUUACGUUCUUCAAAUAAGAAGUAAGUUGUAUUAUUGUCAGUAAAAAAUUGAUUUUUGUUGGUCUAUUACUAUUGUCUCCUAUCAAGAAUGAAAUAAGCUAUUAUUUAUAUGUUCCAAGACAAUAUGGGAUGAUUGCUGUUUAUUGUUUUUAUCGGUGAAAUCAAUGAAUAUACAGCAUAUUUUUAGUCAUCAAAUGCUUUAGUUGAGUAAUAGAGAUAAAUUUCAGUACCUAUUGAUGUAGAUUGGAUUGGCUACCUUCUCUUAUACUGGCUUCCAUAAGUGCUGUGGUUAAUUUAUUAUAAUACCAUUAUUUUUUUAUAGGUUUCUUCACACUAGUUUAGCUUUCUCUAGGAAAUUCAUUUAAGUUGGAGUAUAUCAAUUGGUUUUUGCAUUGCACAAUGGACUUUUUUCUCUUUUUUAUUAGAUCAAAGGAGAAUAAGUCAAAUGUCUUGUACCUUUGGAUCUACUCUUGAAUAUGUAAUAUUUGCAGUCUUUGUUUCACUUCCUCACUUCCUGUUGCGUCAGUUGCAUUCUUAUAUUUGGUAGAAUUCUCCUGUUAAUGGGCACUAUUCAAUACGACUUCCUUGAAACUGACCACAUUUGUUGCAUCCUUGUUAUAUUUUUUAUUUUCCUAAAAAGAUUUUCAGUUCUGCAAAAUUGGUUUGAAGUAAUUCCUGCAAGACAAACAACCAAUGUCCUCCAUAGUCCAUAUAAUUUGCAUCUGACUGGUCUGUUCAGUUCCUUUUUACAUUUUGCAUGUUACCUUUCCUUUCAGAGGCUUAAUCCUCAUAUGACAUUUAACUGAGUUGGUUUACAUGGCAAUCCUGAUCUCUUACAUCAUAUUAAUGUACAUUAUCUUAUUUUAGGUCAACAUUAUCUCGGUUAACACAUAGAUGUUUCUAGCUGUGCUGCAGAUAAAAUUUGUGGAUAAUUGGUUUUUUUUUGUGCACAAAUAUUUGAUUUUAUGUAUAGUCAAAGGACUAAGAAGUUCACUUCAUGUAUAUCCAGAAAUAAAGCCCUGUCCAACUUUUUAGUACUUAUUUAGUGAAACUACUUGAGCACUGAAAACAUUCACAUGAGGAACACAUUAUAUAUUACUUUCAAGUGCAUACAUGUUAUUUGCCCAUAGGAUUAUUGUGUUUUUUAGUUUUUAAGCUUAUGAUACUUGUCUUUGCAGUUGGUGGGAAGGAAGUGGGGGAAAUCCAGAGCAAGCUUUUGUGUAAGUCAGUGUUGGAUCUAUACUUUGGCGAGGAUCCAUUCGACAAACGAGCUAAAGAGGAUAUUCAGUCUGGUCUGGCUUCCAUUCUGCAGGAGAGAUGUGAUUAACAGCUUCAUUUUCUUCAACAAAGAUCUCAAAUAUUGAAUACAACAGUCCUUUUGUUGUCUACAGUCGAUUUUUGUAUCAGAAGUAAUUUACCUAAUUCCCAACAAUCAAACAUGCUUCAAACCUUCUUUGACGUGCGUUAUCAAUUAUCGUUACUUCUGACAUGCCAUUGUCUCAGGCCAUGAACUUAACGUACCUUCGUUAACCAUAUGUUAUGGUUAAAGUGUGGUUACAUAUACAGCAGGGUGCAUACAGUGAUACAAUGUGACGUGCUUGUACAUGUCUUCACAAUGCUCUGUCAUUGGCAGGAAACAUGAACUGGCGACCAACUUCCAAGUAUUCUCUUUUUGAUGAUUUAUGUAAGAUUCUUUUGGGAUAUGUUCCUGCCACCUGAUCCAGUUGGAUGUACUCUGGCUCCGCAUAAAUUUCCAUCAGGUUUUACAUGAAGCAACUUAAUCUUAUGGAUGUUCUUGAGAGGGUAGAAACUACCGUAAUGUUGAUUUUCUGUUUUCUGAUAGCUUUCUGUGAAUUUGUGCAGGAGGAAAGAAUUAUUUCUACUUGGAUCAUCCAUUGUUGCAUGGCUGCUGCAUGACCUAAGUUGCACAUGAACUGCAGGUAAACCAUGGUUUCAUUUAAUUUGCAAUCACACACAGAACAUGUGAUGUUUUAAUGAUCAUUAAAGCUUAUGUGAUACAUGAUGAUAAAAUCUUCGAAAAAGUUUAUCAUGGCAAAGAUGAUCGAUAACCUUGAUUGAAUUACAAUAAAAUCUUUGAAAAAAUUGUCAUGAUGAUCUGUAGCCUUGGCUGAUAGGCCACAGGAUCAAAUUUCUUUCUCUAUCUAUUUUUUUCCUUCUACCUUACAAAUUCUUGUGAUGAUAAUAAUACUGUCUUUUACUAGAUUUUAUAAUAUAUGGAAAAUGUUACUCUGUUAAAAUUCAAGGUUUGGUCCCUUUUUUUUCUACAGGAUUUGGCUGAACUUGGUUAGGGUUUGGGAGUCCAAAUCAAAGUUGAGAUUUGGUGCAGGUUGAACCCAAAUGCCAAAGUGGUAGACCUAGAAGAAUUAUAGUAGUAAUAAACUUGAUAGAUUGAUCUCUUUCACAUGUGACUGAGGUCCCAAAAUGUUGUCAGAUCCCAUUUGUUUGGUGUGACCCUAAGAUACAACAUGAAGUAGGUGUUCUCCAAAAGACAGGAUGAACAACCCUGCGUGCCCCCAUGGGUGUUCUACAAAAGAGAGACAAAAAGUUACACCUUGACUGGGAAGAGACUACCCUAAUUGAAGUUGGUAAUUACUUUUAACUUUCGCAUAAUAAGCCCAAAUCUACAAGCCUCAUGUGUAAUUAGUAUGAUAGUGGUGUAGUGUUGUUAAAAAUCUUUAUUAACAAUAAAGUAAUAAAAUCUUGUCUUCACCAUUAUUUACUCUGCAUGAAACAUUGAGAGGUUAUAUUCUUUUUAUUUUUUCUGGUCUUUCUCCUUUUUUUUGUGUUUUAACAGGAGGAUUAAAUUAUUGAAAGGUGACUCCCCCAAAUUGUUCUACAAUGUGAAAUCAUCUAACAUAGGAAUUAAAAAAUUACAUACUCUAAUUCAGAAUCAUCAUAAAGGAAGAUUAUAUAUAUAUAUAUAUAUAUAUAUAUAUAUAUAUAUAUAUAUAUAUAUAUAUAUAUAUAUAUAAUGGGGUGGGUGUUACUUAGUAGUAUAAAGCGCUGUACUACCUCUCGUCGUCAAAAGAGAGUGCUAAUAGCCACAAGUGUGGAGAAGGCCAAUGGCGAUGGUAGCGGCGUUGGUGGUGUUCCUGCUCGUCGCCGGCGUUGGGCGGUCGGAGAGUGUGAUUUACAAGGUGGGGGAUGCCGUGGUGUCACGGACUUAGCUGGUUUUGCCUAAGUCGUGCGGCACCCUUGCGUGUCCAUCCGCAAAGGUCAGCCUCUCCGAAGCCUCCUAUAUCCCUUAGGAUCCACAAAAGAGAGAACGGGUUAGAGAGAACGCCUCAAUCGGGAUCCACAAGCAAACAUCUCCGAAAAAUACUUCAUAGACAAUGCAAAUUACAAACAGACUUUACGAGCUCUGAACAGUUGCACAACAAAUGGUAAAAUGGUCCAUUACAGAUCAAAAAUCUCUCACACGUGUCCACAUGACACAACCUUUAUUUACAAGCCUAAAGCGGCCACCAACCCUACUAAAAUGGGACUAUUAAGCCUUCGACCGUCCCUCUACAUACUGUACAAAGCAUGAACAUACCAAAAGACACGGACAUACAUAAGUAUUACAUCAAAUAUCCUGUUUCGAAAUUUGUCCGUGACAGUGGGGUGGACCAUCCUGGGGAGCCCAAACUACACGGCGUGGUCCUUGUCCAAGAACUUCAAAAUGGGAGACACCAUUGGUUGGUCUUCUCCUUCUUUCUGCUCUCCUUUCUUUUGUGACAAGUCUUGUAUGUUGCAGGUGUUCCGUACUUCUUUCUUUCUUCUUGAAUUCAUGUGCUUAUCCUUUUGGAAGCAUUUGAAACUUGGUGACAGCACUCUUUUCGUUCUUUCUCUUUCGGCUUUCUUCGAAGCAAAGAUUGUAUGAUAGCCUGCAAAACUUUUCUUGUUUUUUGUCAUUUCUCUUACUCUGAGUUCUCACUCUCUCUCUCUCUCUCUUUCGUUUUUUAGCUCAACAUGUUCUUGUUUUUUUUUUUUUUUGUGUUGAUUUCUUGAUCUUUCUAACCAUCUUCUUGGAAAUCUUUGAAGCUUUCGACUAGGAAACACCACUUCCAAGUGUUCUUUUAGUUUCGUCUUUCUCCAAAGACUGUACCUAAGGCCUGCAAAACUUCCCUCUUUUUGUUAUUUCUUGGUCCCUGGUUUCUUACUCUCUCUCUCUCUUCUUUUGCUUCCGUUUCAGUUCAACAUGUCUUUUCUUUAGCGUGGGUGGAUUUUUUUUUUUUAAUCUUUGAUGCACCUUUAACUAUCUUUCUGGAAAUCUCGAAACCUUCCAACGAGGAAACAUCACUGCUGAGCUUAUCUUUUUACUUCAUCCUCCUUUCUUUAAAUAUGUUCCAAAGAUUGCAUGAGAGAGCCUGCAAAACUUUUCUCCUUUUUUUUUUUUUGAUAUUUCUGUGUCCCUGGUUUCUCACUCUCUCUCUUUUCCUCUUCUUUUUCAGCUCAAGAUGUCUUUUCUUUGGGUGUGUGUGUGUGGAUUUCUUGAUCUUUGGUGUUUGGUGUAUCUUUAACACCAUCCUUUUGGAAAUCUUUGAAACUUCCAACUGGGAGAACACCAUUGGGUAAUUUUUGUUUUCAGUUCUUUACCCUUUGUUUUUCCUAUAAUUCUUGAUCCUUGUUUGAUGUAGCUACAACUUAGUUUAUUUUGGGAAAUGCUUCAGUGAGAUCUUUGUGAUUUAUUAUGAACAACAAAGAAUGGGUCAAUCUAAGAUGAUGAACUAGUUGUUGGAAGUAAACUUGUUCAAGUAUCCUAAAGAGGUUCAUUUCAUCAAAAGAAAGAUUCAUUGUAUCAAGAGAGAUUCAUUACAUCAAGAAGAAAAAAUAAAUUAAAAAUCUAUAAAAGGAUAAGUCAAAUUGGUUAUUGGUUCUUGAAAGAGUUUCUUGAAAGAGAAUGAUUCAUCUUGAAUAUAAUUAAUGUAAUGUAUCUUUGGGGACUAUAUAAACCUCAUAUGUUAGGUCAUGAGAGAAAGAGAGAGUUUCUGAAAUUGUAAAGUGUUUUUUUUAAGAAAAAUAUAGAAGAUUGAAGCUUGUCCUACUCUUUUUCUGUUUGAUAACUCCAUCUCCUCUUCCUAUCAACAUUAACAUUUGGUAUCAGAGCAUAGGUUAAGUUAUGACCUCUUUAUCAAGUGUCAUCCAACUCCAGAUCUCCAGAUUGAUAAAAGAAAAUUAUGACAUAUGGUGCAUCCAAAUGAAGGUUUUUCUAGGCUCCCAAGAUGUAUGGGAGUUUGUAGAAGAUAGAUUUGCUGAACCAAGUCCAGCAGAAGAAGGAGCAAUGAGUGUAGAAGGAAGAAAACAACUCAAAGAAAGAAGGAAGAAGAAGAAAAAAAGCUUUGUUCACAAUCUACCAAGGGCUUGAUGAUACAAUAUUCGAGAUCAUCGCUCCAACAAAUACUUCAAAGGAGGCCUGGAAAAUGCUUCAAAAAGCAUUCGGUGGUGUUGAUAAGGUAAAGAAACUUCGUCUACAAAUUUUAUGAGUCGAGUUUAAAAAAUUACAACAAGGUACUUCUGAAACUAUUUUUGAUUACUUCUCAAAAAUCAUUUCUAUUGUUCAUCAAAUAAGAUGAAAUGAUGAACAAGUAAAAGAUCAGAGAGUAAUAGAAAAAAUAUUGAGAUCUCUAGAUCCGAAAUUUGAUUUUAUUGCUGUUGCGAUCGAAGAAUCUAAAGAUUUGGAAAAAAUGUCUUUAGAAGAACUUAUGGGUUCCUUUCAAGUUCAUGAACAAAGAAUUACAAAAAAAAGGAGAAGACAAAACUAUGAAGUAGGCACUACAAGCUAAGUUUGCUCUUGAAAAUAAAGGAGAAUCAAAUUCUCAAAGAGGAAGAGGACUAGGACAAAGAGGAAGAGGAGGCAGAAAUCAAACAAAUAAAGAAUCUCCAAAUAAUGAAGAUGCUAGAGAAAAUUCUAGCCAAAGAGGUCGAGGUUAUGGCCGAGGCCGUGGACGUGAUAGAAACUUUAAAAGGUCUGAAAUACAAUGCUAUGUUUGUAAAAGGUAUGAACAUUACUCUUAUGAAUGUUAUUAUAAUCCUAACAAUCAAGGUGAUAAGGUAAAUUUUGUUGAGGAAGAAAAAAACGAAAAUCAAGUUUUGCUAAUGAGUUAUGAUAAUUUGAAAGAGGAUCAGUCUAUGAUAUGAUUUCUAGAUACAGGAGCCUCAAAUCACAUGUGUGGCAUGAAAGAGUUAUUUUCAGAAAUGGAUACAAGUUAUUCCGGGAACAUUACAUUUGGUGAUUUGUCUCAAAGACCAGCAAGAGGCAAAGGUAAAAUUCUCCUUGAACUUAAUAAUGGCAAGGAAUUAUGCAUUUCAGAUGUUUAUUAUGUUCUUGAUAUGAAAAAUAAUAUUCUAAGCUUGGGACAAUUACUUGAAAAAGGUUAUGAUGUUGAGAUGAAAGAUAUGACUCUCUUAAUUCGUGACAAGAAUAAAACAUUAAUAUCAUAUGUGAAAAUGACAAAGAAUAGAAUGUUUCCUCUACAUUUAAGUAUUUUUGAUCAAUCAAAUUGUUUUAAAGCUGAUAUUGAGGAUAUUUCUAUAUUUUGACAUCUUAGAUAUGCUCACUUAAAUUUUGAGGCUUUGAAACUUGUAGAGAAGUAUAAUAUGGUGAUAGGAAUGCCAAAAAUUGAUCGCCCAACAAAAUUGUGUGAAGUGUGUGUCAUGAGUAAGCAAGAAAGAAAACCUUUCAAAGUGAGGACAAAAAGAGCAUGAAAUUGACUUGAUCUGGUGCACUCAGAUGUUUGUGGCCCUAUCAAUCCAGUAUCACUUGGAGGAAGCAGGUAUUUUCUUACCUUCACUGAUGAUCAUAGUGGAAAAACUUGGGUUUAUAUGUUAAAAGAAAAGAAAGAAGUUUUAAGUAAAUUCAAAGAAUUUAAGGAUUUGGUUAAAAGACAAAGUUGUUGUAAGAUUAAAUGUUUAAGAACAGAUAGGGGUGGUGAAUAUAUAUCAAAUGAAUUUGAAAGUUUUUGUAGAAAUCAUGAAAUUUUAUAUCAAUUCAUCAUGCCAUAUACACCUCAACAAAAUGGUGUCUCAAAAAGGAAAAAUAGGACUAUCCUUAAUAUGGUCCGAUGCAUGUUAAAGGAAAGAAAAAUUCCUAAAGAAUUUUGGGGUGAUGUUGUUGCUUGUGCAGUUUAUUUGCUUAACAGGUUUCCGACAAAGCGGAUUAGUAAUGUGACACCAGAAGAAGCAUGGAGCUUACAAAAACCAAGAGUUGAUCAUUUGAAGAUUUUUGGAAGUGUUACAUUUGCUAAGAUACUAGAAGAAAAGAGAACAAAAUUGGAGGAUAAAAGUCAGAAAUGCAUUUUGCUAGGUUAUCCAGAGAAUUCCAGUGGUUACAAACUCUACAAUCCUAUUACAAAUAAAGUUGUGAUGUCAAGAGAUGUUGAGUUUGAUAAACAACAGAUUUGGAACUGGAAAAGUGAUGAGUAGCAUAAGAAAGCUAUAGUUGAAGAAGAAGAUAUAAUACAAGCAAGCACCGAAAUAGCUUUGCCGGAAUCAUUACCUAGAUCAGUUAGGUCGCAUGAUUCAAGAAGUCCAAUUAUAAGAAGGACAAGACCAAUUCAAGAGUUAUAUGAUGUGACUCGAAGGAUUGAUACUAACAAUGAUGAACUUUCUUUAUUUUGUCUUUUUGCAAGAUAUGAUCCAUUAACCUUCGAAGAAGCUUAUAGAGAUAAAAAAUGGCGACAAGCUAUGAAUGAAGAGACUCAUGUCAUUAACAAAAAUAAUACAUGGGAGCUUACUACACUUCCAGAAGACCACCAAGCUAUCGGUGUUAAGUGGAUCUUCAAAACAAAAAGAAAAACAAAAGGAGAGGCGGAGAAAUACAAGGCUAGAUUGGUUACGAAGGGAUAUAAACAACAAUAUGGGAUUGAUUAUGAAGAAGUAUUUGCGCCAGUUGCUUGAUUGGAGACAGUAAGAUUAUUUAUCUCUCUAGCAGCUCAAAUGAAAUGAAAAAUUUUACAAAUGGAUGUCAAAUCAACAUUUCUUAAUGGAGUUCUUAAAGAAGAAGUAUAUAUAUUCAACAACCCCUGGUUUUAUUAUUCAUGAAUAAGAAGACAAAGUAUACAAGUUAAAGAGAGCUCUUUUUGGGCUUGAACAAGCCCCACGAGCAUGGAAUUCUCGAAUAUAUGCUUAUUUUAUUCAAAAUAUUUUUUCUAAAUGUUCACAUGAACAUGCUCUCUAUACAAAAUCUAACUCUAAUGGAGAUAUCUUGUUUGUAUGCCUGUAUAUAGAUGAUUUAAUAUUUACAGGCAAUAGUAGCUCUAUGAUUAAAGAUUUUAAGCAUUUUAUGAAAAAGGAGUUUGAGAUGACCGACUUGGGCAUAAUGACUUAUUUCCUUGGUAUUGAAGUUAUACAAGAUAAUGGAGGAAUUUUUAUCUCACAAGAAAAUUAUGCAAAGGAGAUUUGAAAGAAGUUUUCUAUGGAAGAUUGUCAUCCUACAGAUACACCUGUUGAAUAUGGCACUAAGUUGACUAAGGAAGGUGAAGGUAAAUACAUUAAUCCAACUUAUUAUAAAAGUCUAGUUGGAUGUUUAAGGUAUUUGACAUGCACUCGACCUGAUAUACUAUUUGGAAUUGAUUUAAUAAGUAGAUAUAUAGAAGUUCCUAAGACAUCUCAUUUAAAUAUAGCUAAAAGAAUUUUACGAUAUAUUAAAAGAAUAAUUGAGUAUAGAAUGUUCUAUUUAUUAUCUAAAAGGUUAGAGCUUAUUGGAUAUAGUGACAGUGAUUGGACCGGAAGCUACGAUGAUCGGAAGAGUACAACUGGAUUUGUAUUUUAUUUUGGUGAAGCUAUAUUCACUUGGUCUCCACGCCGGCAGCUGCCCCUCGGUCUAGCAGUGGCCCAAGGUGUGUUGCCAAGGUGUUCGUUAUCGGUCUUGCUGUGUUUUCCUUUGCUGCAGUGUCUGUCUGGUGGCCUUGUUAGGCAGUAGUUGUAGUAGCGGUGGGUGCCAAUGUGAGGAACAAUCAAGAAAGAAAUGUUCAUCUUAACGGGGCUGAUGUGGUAAAUCUUGCUCUGUAAUUAGAAUAAUGACUUAAGUUGGUAAUGUCAAAUUUUCUCCUACUGAAUGCUGGUUGGUAAUCUUGACGUAGAAUAUGAGAUAAGAGUGUUUAGUCAUAAUGAUAGCGUCCAACACACACACCCGAGAGAGAGAGAGAGAGAGAGAGAGAGAGAGAGGGGGCAGCUGUGGGAAUAUAAACGUACAACGCGAACGCAGUGUUCACCUGAAUACGAUGAAGAUGUCACAAGGCAAUUCUAAUCAUCCCGCCACAGCGGUUCUUCCGGCCGUUCCACCGCCACUCCACCUGUAGAGGUCGCGGUGAUGGUGCCUGCAACGGAAGGAUCGGGGAUGGUCCGUCGGAGAGCAGAUGCACCGCUUCGCCGACAGAGGCCGCGACGAAGCCGCCUCCGUUGCUGCCGUCGGCGGCGUAUGGCCCCGCUGCCGCCCCACGGCGUAGCUGCAGGAAACCAGGGGAUGACACAUACCUCGCUGCCGGUGGCGGUGCACGAGAAGGAGAAAGAGAGAGAAUGGAAGUUGUGG